AGAUGAUACGCAGGCAGCUCUUGCUAUUGCUCAGCGGCCCACUCUGGCAUUAGACAAUUACAGCUGAGGGAGGAGCUAGGGUUACAAACUUGUCACACACUGGAGCUGCUAACUUUCCAUCCCGGAAAUCUCAUUUGGAAGGAAGCUACAGACCAGGACGUGAGAGCAAUGAAUUAUCGCACGCCUGCCCCAGAUUCCUGGAAGGCUGCACCAAUCUUCACAAGCUCUCCGGAAACAAAGAAACAAAUCCUAGAAAUCGCCCGUUCGCAUGAUUUCUGAAUCAAAGAAAGUCACCACAGUGUUCUCAUUUUGUGUGUGGUUAAAGUGAGUCUUGUGAACGCACCCUAGUGAGGUAAGUUACUAGCGUCUGGAAAAAAGUAAUAGAUAUCCAAUGUUCCGUGCAGCAAUAACUUAUCACAUCACAGUAGUUUGCAAUACAAGAGUAACAUUUCAGGUUUAGGGGGUUGUGUGGAUAGUGUCAUUAUCUGGUUUGGUCACUAGAUGGCACUUUACUUUGUGGAAUCUCAGUGAAGUCAGGAGUGUCCUGUUGCUGUUCUUGUUUGAGAAGACAAUAAAGUUUUUGUCUAGCUUCCUGAAGAGUGUCUCCUAAGCCUUCCAGGACAGGUGUGGAAGAAGCAAUCACAACAAGUUUAAAGUCUGCUGUUCCUGUGUAUAUAUAUAUAUAUAUAUAUAUAUAUAUAUAUAUAUAUAUAUUGCUCAAAAGGCAGGGUAUAGUUUAAAAGCAUUUGCCAUCCUUACUUAAAGAAAAAUGCUUUGUGCUAAACCGAAGAAUGUCCCUAAAUAGUGGCUCUCUAGACUACUUUCCUACAUGAGUGUUGAAGGAAACACUAAUCUAGCGUUGAUUGCUCUACCCUCCAAAAGUGGUGCACUUUAGCUCUGAUAUUUAUUCAUUUUAGGAAUUUAUACCCCACUCUUCACCAGAAGUCUCAAAACAACUUAUACUAUCUGCAGAUAUUAAAGUGAUUCUGUGAAGUGCAGCCCCAAACAACACCAGUCAUACCUUUCCUCCCAGAUCAGCAGAUUUCAUCCCUGCAGCAUUUCCAUCUUACCUGGAUUACAUCUAAAUAUUAACAUUUAAAUGAUUAAUUAACUUUAUCUGCUUACAGGUUUUAUGUCCUGCCUGCCAUCAAUGACAGAGUGUUCAAAGCAGCUAACAUGUUUGAAUAAUUUGACUAUAUAAUACAGUCGUACCUUGUAAGUUGAAUGCCUUGCGAGUCGAAUGUUUUGGCUCUUGAACGCUGCAAACCUGGAAGUGAGUGUUCCGGUUUGUGAACGUUCUUUGGAACCCGAAAGUCUGAUGGGGCUUCCGCGGCUUCUGAUUGGUUGCAGGAGCUUCCUUCAGCCAAUCGGAAGCUGCACCUUGGUUUCUGAACGUUUUGGAAGUCGAACGGACUUCCGGAAUAGAUUCUGUUUGACUUCCAAGGUACAACUGUAUCAAUUUUGAAUUUUGAGGUGUGACUAUUCAGUGGAAAAUUCACAAUUUCCCAAGCAGCUGCAGUUGGGCAUGGGCUUGUUGUGUUUUGUUCGUUUGUUGUUGAGACACAAGAGGCAGUAAUCCAGCAAGAAUUUCACAAACCUGCAAUUCAAAUAAGUAGAUGCAACUGGAAGGAAAACAUGGUCAAUUUACAUAAUUUUGGUAUAUGGUGAUAGGCACUGGGAUUGUUUAGUACAGCAUGUGAAGCACAUUGUCUGCGCAGCAGAAGUGAAGAAUGAUGGAAGAAAAUAGGUACAUUUGUUUUACAUUAAGUGAACAAGGGGUUUAUCACACGGCACUGAAAAAGCCAUAUGGACAAACCAUUUCCACAGGGUAUUGAGCUAUGUCCUGCCAAGGAAUUAUUGCAAGAUGGUCUUAAAACUAUAUGCUUUCCUUAUUCUCUAGAAACGACAUUUUCACAUUUAGCGGUCUUAACUCUGCACAGUUUUAUGCUACCCAAUAUUUCACUCUGAAUAUGCUAACAUUUCUAGAAUUUCAAAAUGCAAUGUACAUUAGCAAAAGUGUGUGAUCUUGUUCCAAGACACCCAGGCAGACAAUAUUAUACUAACUAGCAAGGUAUGAUUGCAGGCAAGCUCUUGUAUUCGGCUUCGUACAUACUACCAGCUGGGAGACCUGCGAUCCCAUGGAGAGAUCUGUGUGCAUUCUGGUGACAGGUUUGGUUUGAUACUGAGGCAUAACACACAUGGAAAGCAGGCAAUCAGCUCCAUCUAGAACUGCAUGGAGCUGGCCAGUGACUCCUAAAGUUGGAUGCUGGGCAAUUAUUGCCUAGUUCUGAUGGAAUUUGGCCUUACCAUCAGCCUGACGAAGACCAAUAGCUUGGGUCAGGACAUCGCCAGCACUCCAUGCAUCAGUAUUGGUGACCAUAUGCUAGAGGUGAUAGACAUUUUUGUCCACCUGGGUUCCACCACCGCCAAAAUCUCUCCAUUGAUUCUGAGCUGGACAAAUGUAUUGACAAGGCAGCUGUGGCAAUGGCUCACCUCUCCAAAAGGGUAUGGGAGAAUGUGAUGCUAACGUCCAAGACCAAAACGAAGGUCUAGCAGGCUGCUUUAUGGAAGUGAGCCUUGGGCAACUUACAACUGCAAAGAGUGACGCCGCAGUGCUUUCCACAUUCAUUUCAGCUCAGCCAAAAACAACUGCUUGCUUUUUAAUAUGCUUUUCUCCAAAUGACAUGAAGCAGAGAUUUCCCAUCCGACAAAUGCUGUUCAACAGCAUUUGUAAAAUAGGCCUUUAGUGUAGUGGUCCCUAAUCAAAUCUUAAAUUUCAGCAUGUGAAUGGUACACAAAAGGAGUGUUGGCUGGAAGUCUGAAAUUAGAAGCCUUUUACAGUGUAUAUGUGGAAAGCACAGUUGUCUUCAGUCCCAAACAAAUCUCUUAUAAAUGGAUGUGAUACGUGAGGGAAAGACAAUCCUUUCUCUUUUUUACCUGUACUAUAAUAACAACAUUGAUACAUGUUAAGGUCAGUGCUGCUGGCUAGGUUUUAUUGUGCACUAAUGCUGGAUCUGUCUUUUUUUAGAGGACAGGAGGGGGAAUUACUCUGAAAUGGCACUUGAUAUGCUAUAUGGCAUUGCAGAUUUAGACAGUCUAAUUGUAGAGCUGAAAUCCAAAAAGGUCUUAUCAAAGUGCUAAAUCCCAAAGGACCCCUUUUCUCCCUACAGACAAUAGCUGCAAUUUUGCAAGCAGUAGAGUUGCUGAAACUUCUUAGGCCCUCAGUCCAGAAAAACACAACUGAAAUCAUCAAGACAUCAGGAGAUCACAGCUAAUUUGUUCCCGUGACUCCAGUGGGACUUAAAAGCACAACUUCCUUGCUCGGGUUUGGGAAUGCAGACUUGCAGCACUUCCAUAUCACCAGGGUUUUUUCCAGGUGGGACUCAGUGGCAUACUGGUCAAUGCAAGUUGUGGGAUUAGAGUUAAUUGGGAGGUCUUGUGCAACCAACUCCUUUCCUGGAAGAGGCUGCAAUUAAAAUUCUUGAGCAUUUCGAUAAGAUUCAGCGGGAGAUCAAGGGAAGGCACACCUGAACACCUGGAUACCCUGCCAGCUACAAGGGGUUUUAUCAUGGGAAAGCUGCUCAAAGCCCAUGAAACCCAUGAAAAAUGAAACUAGAUAUUGCAUAUCCUGCAUUCAAAGAUAACGGAAUGCAACCAAGAAAGAACAGAGAUUUAAUGGGGAAGACUCAUCCCACAAUGGAAAAAUUAAGAAACACUCAUUUCCAUUCUGGUCAUUUUCACUGACAGUGUAGAAUUGAAUUUGGAUUGGGGAGACCUGGGAGAAUGUUAGCACCAGACUACCCAGCAAGCUCCCAGUGGGGAGCUGAGUUCCGCUCUCCCUUCUUAUCCCCAUUUAUGGGCAGAUUUAUGCUGGUUUAACAAUCAUUCCAUCUCCCCAUGAUACCUCUAGGGGUGGGCAAUAUUUUUUAAACUAGGGGAACAUUCCAUUCUGGGCAACUUUUGGGGGGUCAUGUGCUAGUGGCAGACAGGAUGAAGCCCGAAUGGUUCAGAUCAGGUCAGUUUGUCUUGGAAUCUGCAAAGACUGACUUCCUCAAGCAUCCAUAGUUUAAAGCAUGUUCUUAUUGCUCAUGGCCACAGCCAGUAGAAGAUACACUGAACACAAGUCCCCAGCAUUCAGUUUGUUAUACAAAUAAGAUGAUCUUCACACACAUACCCAGCAGCAUGGGAGUUGCUUCAGCAGGGUAUGAUCCCAUGGCGCGGGGCUAACAUUUGGUUGUCUCCGUGAGAUGGCCACACACAAGCAUGAAGCUCUCAGUAGCUCAGUGGUGCUGGCUUUGAUCCUUGACAUUUCCAGCCGGGUCUGGGAAAGACCAUUGCUUGAAAUCCUGGAGAGCUCAUAGAAUCAUAGAAUUGUAGAUUUGGAAAGGACCCCGAGAUUCAUCUAGUCCAAGCCCUGCAAUGCAGGAAUCUCAACUAAUGCAUCCAUGACAGAUGGCUAUCCAACCUCUGCUUAAAAACCUCCAAGGAAGGAGAGUCCACCACCUUCUAAGAGGGUCUAUUCCACUGUCAAACAGCUCUUCCUGUUAGAAGGUUCUUCCUGAUGUUUAGUUGGAAUCUCCUUUUUGUAACCUUGAGCCUUUUGUUUGAAUCCUACCCUCCAGAGCAGGAGAAAACAAGCUUGCUCCAUCUUCCAUGUGACAGCCCUUCAGAUAUUUUGAAGAUGGCUGUCAUAUCUCCUCUCAGUCUCCUCUUUUCCAGGCUAAACAUACCCAGUUCCUUCAACCGUUCCUCAUAAGGCUUAGUUUCCAGACCCUUGAUUGCCUGGGUCGCCCUACUCUGCAUACAUUCCAGCUUGUCAGCAUCUUUCUUAAAUUGUGGCGCCCAGAAUUGGACACAGUAGUCGAGGUAUGGUCUGACCAAGGCAGAAUAGAGUGGUACUGCUAGUUCCCUUGAUCGGGACACUAUACAGUGGUACCUCGGGUUACAUACGCUUCAGGUUACAGACUCCACUAACCCAGAAAUAGUACCUCGGGUUAAGAACUUUGCUUCAGGAUGAGAACAGAAAUCGUGCUCUGGCGGCACGGCGGCAGCGGGAGACCCCAUUAACUAAAAUGGUGUUUCAGGCUAAGAACAGUUUCAGGUUAAGUACGGACUUCCGGAACGAAUUAAGUACUUAUCCCGAGGUACCAUUGUACUUCUGUUGAUGCAUCCUAGAAUAGCAUUAGGUUGGUUUUUUUAUGCUGCAUCACACUGUUGACUCGUCUAAGUUUGUGGUCUACUGAGACCCCUAGAUCCUUUUCACAUGUAUACAAGGUUUUCCCCAUUUUAUAUUUGUGCAGCUGGUUGUUCCUGCCUAAAUGUUCCUGUGAUUUUGUUCCCCACCUCCUUCGAAGCUCAGGUCAGUUACUAAGUGUUGUUUAAAGGCUGUUUGUUUUCCACCCUCUUCAGCCAAAGGAGCUGUUUUUCAGCUGCACUUCUUCCUUUUCUAUGGUUGUUUUUGGGUUCUGCCUGCUUUGGUUACUGCUGAGACCGGGUAAUUAGCUGUCAUCUUGUCAAGGAGCAUGUUCAUUUCAGCUUGCCAUUCUUCAUUUCACUCUGGGUUUGUUAAUUUCACUCCUGUUGGCUUCAGCCUUUGCAGCCCCUGCCAGUUUGACAGCGGGACAGCUGCUUAAGGAAGGCACCAAGCAAAACUUGAAAGCUAGAAAGUGGUGUUUAUUCAAAGAUGGUAUAAGACGGCAUUUAGGCAAAGAUGGCAUGGAGUGCCACCUAUGUGUGUUUUCUAAACCAGAACUGGAACUCAAGCAAAGCCAUAAGUUGCCCUUCAAAUUGGAACAUGUAUCUAAAAGUGGCCCAGGUAAAGAACCACAAGGAAGUAUUGUAUCGCCCCAAAAUCAAUAUUGACUCGUUAGCACUAUGGACUAUGAGAACUAGCCUUUGUUUGGUGUUGCUACUUUUGGCUUAUGGAGAUAUUUUUUUCAUUGUUUGUUCCAAUUGUCUGAAAUACUUUGCAUUUAUGUACUGUGUACAUGCCAAACUGUGUGCAUUAGUGAUCACGGAGAAAGACCAUAAGGUCAAAAUGCAGCUGGGUUUAUUUUAUUGAGUGAUUUCGGGUUAUGGUUGCUUGUAAUUGUUUAUGUUUGCAAUAUAAAAUAAUUUUAAAUUACAGUUCUCGACAUUUUCACACCAGUUUGCUUUCAUGUUCCCAUGAAAAUCUAUCAGCAUUUUCACACGAAUUUCUCCUAAUGCACACAUUUUUGUAUGCAAGCUUGUCCAACAUACACAUUUUAAUGGGUAUUAGCUGUCAGUCCUGCAUUUCCAGGGGUUGGACUAGAUGAAUCUUGUGGUCUCUACAAUUCUAUGAAUCUGCUUCAUUUUUGCAGAGCAUUUCCUCCUAAUAUACUAUGUACAUGUUCACUAAUAAAUGUAUUUUUCUGCAGCUUAAAAAUAUGUUGUAAGCCACUUUGAAUCCCAAUUUGGAAGAAAGGUGGACUAUGAAUAUAUUAAGUCAAUUAAAAAAAAAUUUAGUGUUGUUGUUGUGGUUGUUGUUGUUUUUUUAAAAAACUUAACAACUUUCAGGGUGUCCUGGUUGUUUAUUUUUGAAAUAUAGCAACCCUAGCAUAUACAUUUUUGUACAUAUGAUUGGCUAUAGAACUGCAUUGCAAUAUUCAGAGAACUGUGAAUUUUCAAGGUUCGUUGUGUUCUGGUUCACAUAUUAUUUCAGAAAGUGUGAAUGAAUUGAAGUGUUUCCCCCCCCUGUAUUUCAAAUGUACUUCAACUCUGAAAAUGCUGAGAUACCUACCUUUAUCAUAAACAUUUAAGUCAGCUGUCUCUCUUUCUGUGUGUGACAAUGGCCUCAUUUAUACAAAAUGCUGUUAUGGUUUAGCAUUUCGAGGAUGAGCUGAAGUGAGCCUUCGACUCCUGUCCUUCUCCCUCCUGCAUGGGAAUCUGAGAGUUUGGAAGAUUUCCCUUCAGUUUUAAAUUAACCACAAUUUGUUGUUAUGUCUGAGCCUGGCCAAUUUUUGGUUAUUGUUAACCAUGGUUUUUUGAAGCAAGCCCGCUUACAAACCUGGCUUGUUUCAACAGACCAUAGUUAAGGUUAACAAAAAAAAAUCAAUCAAUCAAUAAAUAAAUAUGGGUAAGUGAAGCUUUCAAACUCUUCCUUGUGACCAUGCUGGAAAAGGAGAAGGGAGCGUGUUAGCUGCAGCAACUGUCAUAAUGCUAAACCAUGGUUUAGCAGUACAGUGGUACCUCGGGUUAAGUACUUAAUUCAUUCCAGAGGUCCGUUCUUAAUCUGAAACUGUUCUCAACCUGAAGCACCACUUUAGCUAAUGGGGCCUCCUGCUGCCACCGUGCCACUGGAGCAUGAUUUUUGUUCUCAUCCUGAAGCAAAGUUCUUAACCUGAAGCACUAUUUCUGGGUUAGCGGAGUCUGUAACCUGAAGCGUAUGUAACCUGAAGCGUAUGUAACCCGAGGUACCACUGUACAUGUGAACACAGCUAAUGUGUCUGAUUGCUGCUACCUACAAAAAAUGGUCCAGUUGCCAGGGCUAGCAUGGCAACAGUAUUCUAAAACACAGACUGAGCAUGGAAAGACAGGUGAAAUAAUUUUGUACCAGAUUCUGGCUUCAUUUUCCUGGGAGACGUUUUGGAAACAGGCCGUUUGCCUCUACAGCUCUCUAGACUUAACAGCUCAAGCACAACUGCCCAGUGUCACCGUCAGGAAAAGUUGUUAACUGCGCUUUGCCUGUUUUCUUACUGAGAUAAAACCUUAAGUGUGGUUGCAGGUGUUGAAAGGUGUGAUACCAUGCAGGGAGCUUGCUUGGAAUACAAUGGGGUUGGUAUAGUCUCGUAUUUCUGGCAGCUGUCACUUGCCGGGCUUUCUAAGAAUGACUGCAAACACAGAGAACAAUUCAUUAAUAUAAAUGUAAAUGCAAUCUUGGCAGCCCUGUUUGAUCACGGCUAUAAAAGGAAAAAAGCAAACCUUCAGAUUUCAAGAUAACGGGUUCAUUUGCAUGACCAGUUUUAGGCAACAAGUGGUGGCAAAGACACCACAAGAUUCAUUGUUUUUAAAAUAUAGGCCUUGUUGGCAGCCAAUUGCCCACUGCCAGUAUCAUGGCCUUCUUAGUUACUAUUUAUUGGUUCAGUCCAGAUUUCAUGUAUUUCGCCCCCCUUUGGUGAGGCUUGCAUGUGGUUACGUUUCCUACUUUCCCCCCUUUUUAAUGGCUCCUUAGCCAGUUAUUUACCCCCAAACAAGGAAAAGCUUCUAAUUCUGGAAUCCUGAAACUUCCCUGUAAUCCGUUUUCAUUUUUUAAAAAAGCAAUUUCAUGAGAUAGUUAAAUGACCCCCUUCAUAUAUUCAGUGAGUGGGGUGGUUGGUGGUGGGUAUAUAAUGAGUAAUGGAUCUAAGUGGGAUGAUUUAGAAAGGGAACAGUAUGUUGUAUGGAUUCAGCUCCCAGAAUCCAUGACUAUAGCCCAUGCUAGCUGGGACUGAUGGGAGAUGGAGUAAAAAGAAAACUACCUGGAAGGCCUCAUAUUAGUUAUCCCUGCAGUAGUGGCAAGCAGGGAUUUUUCCUCCCUCUGGUCCUUGGAGGAAAGCAAACCUUGGCAGCCCAUUCUGUUGUCCAGUUUUCUGAACUGUUAAUUUAAUACCUCAGUUAACCAGCUUCUGGGUUUAUUGUACCCUCCCCCCAAAAAGAAAAACACACAUGACCCAUUUGAACGCCAGCUCUGUGGUUUAUAACAUUGAAAGAGUGAAGUCGCUGUCAAGGGGCUAAUAAAGCUCCCACUAAACUUAUGACAGACCGGGAUGUGACAUUGGGGCCUCGUGACACACUUUUGGGUUGUGAUGGGGUGGCGUGGAGAGCAAAUUUUUCAGAAACAUUUUGGAAAUAUUGUUUGGUUGUGUAGCUGAGUGCUGACGCAGCAUCAGAUAGGAAAUCAAAGAGCAAACAAUUCAGACGAGGGAAAGCUCAGUGUUUCUCUACAGGCGGGGUGAGGCAAAGUUCCUCAGGAGAGUGAGUGGCAGUUUGCCAGGGCGGGGAGCCUCUGGGCAAUACAAACACAGCCAUCCGGACCGGCCAGUUCCUGGGUUUAGACUGGCUGUCAAAAAGGAAGGAAAGCAGUUUAUAGGAACUCCAUAGAAUGCGAGUGAGAGAGGAAACUUCGAAUAUGCCACAGCGCCUGAAAUCUCGACAUAUCAGUCCAUAGGACGAAAGCAAUCUGGUGUUUUCUUAAUGUGUAUAUUAUUUAGGUGUGCAGUUUCACUAAUCUAUGGAGAGCUGGGAGCUUCUCCCAGGCCUACCAUUAAGCAGGACUAGAAAUGGUUUUUAUCACCAUGGGGGAGGGGGCGCUUGUGAGAAGUCAUUCUCUUAGCAUGGCAGAAUCAAUUCUCUUGUACUGUUUAUGACUCCUGCUAAAGUUGGGGUUUAGGUAAACCUGCCUUCACCUUUAUUUUUAUUCUGAACCUGGCUCGCUAGUCCAACACUCGAAUCACUGAGGUACUCUGCUUGCUGAUAUUCAAAUUGUGCAGGAUAUGCAUGACUACAGAUGUUCAUUCUUGUAAGACGCAUAAGCAACAUUUCAAACUUAUUUUCUGGGUAUACGUUCUGUCAUUUUCAUACGGGGGUCGAUUCAGAUGCCUCCCCACGUGAAACUGAUUUGCUGCGCUCACCACAGAAGGACUGGGCCACAUUAAAGACACCACAUCAAAAUGUACGUGCAUGAAUAGUCCAAAGACAGCAGAAAAGUCUCCUAAGCUUGUUAUUCCUUGCUUUCACUUGCAUUAAGAACCUUUCCAGAUGAUUUUUCUUCCAGAAAAACCCAGAACACCUAGAUUUUAUCCUUAGCACUAUGUUUACAUAACCUUAGUGCUAUCCAGUACCAGUAAUGCAAUACUUUGCUAGUGUGAUUAAAUGUGUCUCGGUCACAUGGAAACUUGGAGAAGAACCCACACUUAAUUGUUUUGGUGGCAAUCGCUUUUCUGCUGUAAUAAGAAAUGGGCCUGUGAGAAAUAUUAUGAGGUCGAGGAGUCAGGAAAAGCCUUUAUUCCUGUUUUCUUAUGUGAAUACGAUAAGACUAGUGUCUAGCCUUUCCACUCCCAGAGUGUUCCAGAAUAUUGGUGACAGACUCUCCAAGUGCCCCUAUUUUCCAGGGACAGUCCUGGAUUUAUGGAAGCCAUCCUGGUUUUUGAUUUGCUCCACAAAUGUUCUGAUUUUCCUUAGGAGGUCUCUAUUUUCAUUGGAGAAAUGUUGGAGGGUAUGGAGUUAUGUGACUCCCCAAGCCAAGGAGAUAAGUAACUAUACAACCUCUAGAAGACAUCUGAAGGCAGACCUGUAUAGGGAAAUUUUUUAACGUUUAACAUUUUAUUAUGUAUUUAUGUAUGUUGGAAGCCAAGAUGGGUGGAAAUAAUCAUAAUCAUAAUCAUAAUUGAAUAAAAAGGUAACGGGAUCCCUGACCAUUAGGUCCAGUUGUGGCCGACUCUGGGGUUGCGGCGCUCAUCUCGCUUUAUUGGCUGAGGGAGCCGGCAUACAGCUUCCGGGUCAUGUGGCCAGCAUGACUAAGCCGCUUCUGGCGAACCAAAGCAGCACAUGGAAACACCGUUUACCUUCCUGCCGAAGCGGUACAUAUUUAUCUACUUGCACUUUGAGGUGCUUUCGAACUGCUAGGUUGGCAGGAGCAGGGAGCGAGCAACGGGAGCUCACCCCAUCGUGGGGAUUUGAACCGUCGACCUUCUGAUCGGCAAGUCCUAGGCUCUGUAGUUUAACCCACAGCACCACCCGCGUCAUUAUUGAAUAGGACAUCCCUAUUUUCAUCGGAUAAAUGUAGAAGGGUAUGUAGUGGUCAUCAUGACAAGUCUUGUUGAUUUAAACAUCAUGCAUAUGGUGAAUGCAUAUAGAGAGAACAGGAUCAUUCUGCUGUUCACUCAGUCAACUGUACCGUCUCCUGUAUAUAUGAUUUGUAGAGUCUGUAUGCAUUUAGAAAUUGUAUAGGCCAAGGGUGGAGGAACACACAGAGAAGGACCUCAUUUGACGAUCUGAGAGUCUUGGCCAGGGUUUCCCAAACUUGGGUCUCCAACUGUUUUUGGACUACAACUCCCAUCAUCCCUAGCUAGCAAGACUAGUGGUCAGGGAUUAUUGGAAUUGUAGUCCAAAACAGCUGGAGGCCCAAGCUUGGGAAACCCUGAUCUAGGCCAAAUCCUGCCAAUGCAGGAAAUAAGGUGAAUGCAUGUGGAGAUAGCAGGAAAUUCACGAGCACCGCAUCGUAAUAGGGCACCAUCUUCCAAGACAACAUUUGCUGCUGCUCUGUGGAACAGCUUGUACCAUUAGGAAAUUCUUCUUCAAGUUUACUCCAGAUAUAUAAUAUUUUGUUUUAUGUUCCAGAUUCCAUGUGGUGAACCAUUCUGUGCUCCUAUCCUGGAGGAAUGGUGCAGUCUAGAAAUGACAUAAUAAACAAGCAUAACAGAGAAAUUUUAGAAACAGCUCCCUUGGCUGCUUCUGUCUACCCCCCAUCCCUCACAAUUCUUCUAAUAAAUUUGUAGGUUUGGGCAAAAGUUAUAAAGGGAUGGAGAAAGGAAACUGAUACUCUAGAAGGCUAGUCCAGAAUUCACUCAGGAGUGACUAAGGGAAUUCUGAGGCAUUAGUUCUUGAGCCAUUUCUGAUGGGUUUCGCUAUCGCUAGUGGGAAGACUUUUCAGAGGGCAGCAUGGUUCAGAAGGAUUUGUUGAAAGUUCCACUUUCUACCCUACAGAUGUGCCCUUCAGGAUAGCAAAUGAAUCCUAAAGUGCUGCUGUGUGGUCAGUGAUACAGGGCCUCUGUUAAUCAUUCAGGGUUUCUUUCCAAAAACGUUGAAACCAAGCAAGGGAAACUUUUCUUCCCAACAGUUUGUUCAGAUUUGGAAUUACAAUCGGUUUUAUUGUGAAAAUGAAAGCACUUUUUACAUUCACCCUAUAUAUUAUAUAACCAAAUCACUCCGCCAUACCAAGGACUUUUGAAGACAAGCUUCCUUGCCCAGUCCCUCAACAACAAGAGCUAAUUCCUUGAUGUGAAAACAAUCAAAGGAUGAGCUCAUUUCCGAUUUCACAUAUGACGCCAAACAUUUCUCUCUCUCUCUCGUAAACAAGAUACGCUGGCAGAACCUCCUCCUCUUUGCCUGCUGUUUAUUAACCGAGAAACAGGCCAUUGAUUCUUAUCAAGCCUAUCUGGCCAAAUGAACUGCAUAUUUCAGAAUGGAAGACCUGUAUAAACUAGCUGGCUGCUUCCAUCCGAGCAGCUAAGAGCAUUCUCCAACUUCAUCUGGAAAUGGGUCCCUCGCAUACAGCCCUGAUAAUGACAGGAAGAAGGGCAUGGAAUCCCAGACUGAAAAUUGCCACUGCCAGAGCCAGGACUGAAAGAAACUUUUCAGCCGGGAGCUCAUAUUUCUAGAGGAUGAAGCAUAGAUUGUGGCAGCACACAGUUAUGCCACCGGGACUUUUCCAAUUAGGAUGGAUGGCUGUGUUGUCUGAUAAAUUACAUUGCUUCUAAUUAUAACCCCUUCCCUUAAGAGUGUUGAAAAUCUAAACUGGAAGAAGACUGCACAAGUUCCUUAUAGGAUUAAGCGAUUUAAAGAGGGAUAAAUAGGGAUAAACUGCUGAAUGCCCAUAGACUUGUCAACCUUGGUCCCAUUUUUUCCCCAGGGAGCAGGAGAGAGGGGAGGUCAGACGGGCACCAUAAUGCUUGCUGGUUUGAUUUUGGACAUUGCCACUUUUAAUAUUUUCUCUAAUUUGACAUCGGCAGAAGAACCCAGUGGAUUAGCCGCUGUCUUGCUUCUUAAAUCAACUCCUUAAAUCUCACAUUGCCUGCGCUGAUUAUUCUCAUGCUGGGAGUACCGUAUUUUUUGCUCUAUAAGACGCACUUUCCCCCUCCUAAAAAGUAAGGGGGAAUGUGUGUGUGUCUUACGGAGCGAAUGCAGGCGAGAGGCUCUGUCAGCGCUCCCUUUAAAGAGACGCGUGGAGCGUGUGUGUGGCUCUUGGGAGCUUUUCCUGAGGAGGAAUAAUCAAUAAAGCAAUAAGCAAUAAAGCAAUAAUCAAUGUACUGGACUAUAAAAUAAAUAAGACAGAUGAUUAAUUUUUAAAAAAAAUUUUUUUUUUUACCUGCACUGAUAGUCAUUGUUUGGAUGGGGGGCUUUUAUCCAUUUCCGCAGUCACACAAUCAAUCAACCAACCAACCAACCAACCAACCAGUAGCUGAACUGGGUUCCACAGUCACAAAAACCAACUAACCGAAAAAGCCUCAAAAACAAAAAAGCAAAAUAAAUAGCAAAAACAAAAGCGCCAAACUUAAUCCGUUCCGGAAGUCCAUUUGACUUCCAAAAGGUUCAAAAACCAAGGCACAGCUUCUGAUUGGUGCAGGCGCCCCAGAAACAAUAGCCGACAGCCACAUCAGACGUUUGGCUUCUGAAAAACAUUUGAAAACUGGAGCACUUACUUCUGGGUAUUGGCGUUUGGGAACCAAGGCGUUUGAGAACCAAGGUACUGUACCGCUGUAGAGAUUCCAAAGGGUUAGAUGCCACCACAAUAAGGGCUUGGUUCCUAUACAUAUUGUAUGGACCCGAAUGAAGAGAAAUGAAGUUUGCAGCUCAGCCAGCAGAUCUGACCUGGAACAUUUUCCAAGGGCUGACCCCUUCUGGUCUUUUGGUAUAAGGAGCCUUCCUUGGUUAGAAUCUCGGCAGUUCUCUUCUUUGGUUGGAGCUGGGUAGCAGAAUGUUGACUAGGUCCCUACUUGACAUCCACUGUGCUUUUGAGUCUGGCAGCCAUCUUAAAAUCUCUCCUCCCUUUCCAUUGCACACCUUAACUUCUUUUAGAUUUUUGUGUGUGUGUCCAAGCUUUAUGAGAAUGCCAUCUGUUAAAUAACAUAGUAUGUUAUAUAAAACCUUGGCUUCAAUACCUCAGUGUUACGCAUCACUAUGUGAAGCUCUAUAAUACAGGACAAUACUUGAUACAAAUUCCUGAGCUUUUGCUUUUCGUGAAACUCCCCAACCCAGAUCUAUGGCCCCUCCAGACUGUAUGGUUUAUUUUUUGAGGGGGUGGGGGAGCAGGUGGGUGUCUUCUGCAACAUGUCAUUGAUACAGUAACAGUGCAUUCACAAUGGAUUUACACUGGAUGGUCCACACAUUAUUCUACUUUAUUAGUUGUUCCACAAUGCUCCCUCAAUGUUACCACUUUAUUGUUUGCUGCCUGAAGGACCACUCUUGUGCUAUAGCACAACGAAAGCAAGAACCCCCCUACCCCGCCCUUGAAUGCUUUGUGGUAUGAAAAAUUUCAGCCGGAAGCUACAGGGCAUGCACCAGUCAGAAACAAAACAGUAUGUCUGCCUGAAAUCUUUGGCUACCACAAACAGUAUGGAAAACGGGAUCUCAUAUAAACACCCUGAUACCAACAGGAGCACAAGUAAUCAUCAGUGAUAAUUAAAAAGGCCAUUUGAAACACACGUUCACACUUAAUUCUGACCUGAAUGUAACUUAAACUCUUCCACCUUACAGCAUGUUCUUGUCGCUGUUGAAAUUAUAGCACAGAAUGACAGCCUAAAGUUCCAUAUUUCUAAAUGGUUUUCCCCAUCAGCAGGGAAGGAGACAAAUCAGCUUUCCAGGGGAAAUAAUUGGACACUCGCAUGUGGUCACCAGCACCAUCUCAGAGGGAGCCUGAAUGUGCAACAGUUGUGCGUUUGCAUGUGUGAAAGCAUUUCAAAUGUGCGCACAUUUCUGGUGACGAUCUGAGUUAUCUGACAGUCUCACAUUGGAGGAAAUGCAUGUCCAUGAUUCUGCCUUGCAAAUUGUGUCCUGUUGCAUACUGUGAAAAGAAAAAAAAAAGUGAUGAGAAUAUAUUUUAACCUUCCUCAGCCUCAAGGGGAGCCAAACAAAGGGGGGGGGGAGUCAAAUAAGCAAAUUGCCUUAAAACCCUCCUGUUCUUAGCUGUGAAUAGCACUGUGUUGAUGGGAUUUUAUUUUAAAGGCCUUGGAGAAAAUAAUAAAAAUGUAUAAUGAGACAGAUGCUGGAGAGUGUCACUGACAAACUCCAUCUUCUCUUAGAAAUUUCCUCAUCGUUAAGCCAAAGUUAACAAGAGUUGCUAGUGAUACGUUGAAAUCAGUGGAACUCAGAAUGCAGUUCUUUGCUUUGUUUUAACUGUGCAGAGGACUGUGGUAAAAAAGAAGUCAGAUUUUGUGCACGGUUGGCCUCAUUUUUUAAAGAAACUUUCAGUGUUUCCAUUCUUUAUUCAGAUCUCAUCCCUGCAUAUCUUGCCCCAAGCAAGGAAGUGAGCCAGUGUUGCACUUUUAAAAAAUUAUAAAGUCACCUUCCUUUGAAAAACAACCUGAAUUGUAGAGUUGAGCCCUAGUUCAGCUCCCUGCUUUUGCAGACCCUCCAAGUAUCUCUAUUUUCCAGGGACAUCCUGAUUUAGAGAAGCCGUCCUGUUUUCUGAUUUGCUCCCACUUUUCUUUAGGGUGCCCCUAUUUUCUUUGGAAGGGACACGGGUGGCACUGUGGGUUAAACCACAGAGCCUAGGACUUGCUGAUCAGAGGGUUGGUGGUUUGAAUCCCCAUGAUGGUGAGCUCCCGUUGCUCGGUCCCUGCUCCUUCCAACCUAGCAGUUCGAAAGCACCUCAAAGUGCAAGUAGAUAAAUAGGUACCGCUCCGGCGGGAAGGCAAACGGUGUUUCUGUGUGCUGCUCUGGUUCACCAGAAGUGGCUUAGUCAUGCUGGCCACAUGACCCGGAAGCUGUACGCCGGCUCCCUCGGCCAAUAAAGCGAGAUGAGUGCUAGAUGUGAGAUGACAUCGCGUCUGCACAUGCGCAGAUGCCGGAAAUCACGUCUGCACAGAUGCUGACGCCAGAAAUCGCAGGUGUGCGCGAUCCGGCCCACGGAGGGAUCUCCGCUGGAGUGAACCAGCCUAGGCGGGGUAAACUUUGCCAACCCCUGGUCUGGAGUUAUGCAACCCUGAGCCGUCUGAAGGUAAUCCUGUAUAGGGAAGUUUUUUUAUGUUUAAUGUUUUAUUAUGUUUUUAUAUAUGUUGGAAGCUGCCCAGAGUGCUGGGGCAACCCGAUAAGAUGUGUGGGGUAUAAAUAGAAAAAUUAUCAUUAUGGAAUGGGACGUCUCUAUUUUCACCGGAGAAAUGUUGGAGGGUAUGCUUUUGAUGUCUGAAACAUACUGACUGGGGCGAACCUUGCCAUUAUUAGCCAUGAGGGUAUAUGGUUGUUUUUAGAUGUGUUGAAAUAUGUGUGUGUUUGUAAAUCCAUAAGCAGAGUUUGGAGUGCAUAGGGUGCUAGGAGAGGAGUAGUACCUUGAGUCAAGCGGGUGGCGGGUCCUCGAAUCACAACUGCAACCAAGCUGGUGCCAAACAUAUUGCUCUGUUUUCCUUUGGACCACAUCAGGGAGACGUAGAGGGGAGUCUUGUCAUCUGGGCAUCUCAGGGUCUCCAUAUACACCAAAAUGCCACCCCCCACUGCAACUCCUCCCUCUAAUCUUCCAAGUUGCUUUAACCUGCAGUAGGAAAAAGAGAUGGGGGAUUUAUUUUUUAUUUAUUUUAUACCAGAGCCAGGGUGUAUCCACAGCCUUUCUCAACCUGUGGGUCUCCAGAUGUUGCUGAACUACAACUCCUAUCACGCCUAGCUAGCAAGGCCAGAGCUCAGGAAUGAUGGGAGUUGUAGUCCAACAACAUCUGGGGACCCAAGGGGUUGAAAACCGCUGGAAGGAAUUUGGUGAUGCAUAGUUCUACCCUGAGACAUAUGUUUUUAAAAUAUAUAUGUUGGCGGUGGCGGGGGGACAGGGAGAAAGAGAGAGAGGUUUGCAUGAGAAUAUUUUUUUAAAUGCUUCCAUAUGUAGUAAAGGAUGAAUUUCCGGUGUUUGAGAAAACAAAUAUUUGCAAUUUCUUUGUUUUGGUUCAUUAUAUCUGUUUAAAUUCUUCCUGCAGCAUGCUAUGGAGCAGAAAACAUCCCGGACGUAGGUCACUGAAUGCAAAGGAGUUUUUGUUGUUGGCUUUGGUGAUACUUGUGAAGUACUGAGCACUGUACUGAGCACUGAAAGUUUGUAAAGAACAUUUUCCACUGCCACCCCUGGCCUCCAGCUGUCUGUAGAAACUGGAGUUCCUCCAUGUGUUCAACAUUUCCCUUCCCCCAACCCCUGCUGUCUGAGUGGAGAUGUCCUACCGACAAGAAGGGAGCUGUGUUUUGUUUUCUCAUCACCUCAUAAACCAUGGGGUGUGAGGACGGAGUUUGGAUGUUCGGUAAUACUUGUCACAGAACAAACUCCAAAGGGAUGAUAGUUUCAUUCUCUGGCCCACAAAGGACAGUUGCAAGGCAUAGAUAGAUAGAUAGAGAGAGAGAGAGAGAGAGAGAGAGAGAGAGAGAGAGAUAGAUGAUAGAUAGAUAGAUAGAUAGAUAGAUAGAUAGAUAGAUAGAUAGAUAGAUAGAUAGAUGAUAGAUGAUAGAUAGAUAGAUAGAUAGAUAGAUGAUAGAUAGAUAGAUGAUAGAUAGAUAGAUGAUAGAUAGAUAGAUGAUAGAUAGAUAUAGAUAGAUAGAUAGAUAGAUAGAUAGAUAGAUAGAUAGAUAGAUAGAGAUAGAUAGAUGAUAGAUAGAUUAGAUAGAUGAUAGAAACAUUCCAAUAGAGAACUUCACUUAGCAUGCUUUCAGGUGAUAGAGUGGGCUGUAUUUCUUCAUACUGCAGUUGAGGAGGGGGUGGUCACAUAUGUGAAUGCUCACCUGCCCUACAAACUCUCAAAAAGGCUCAUAGAACACCUCACCUCAAGACGGAGAUUGCAGUGCAGGGAAAGGUGCAGAAAAGGGCAAGCAAAACGAUGAAGGAGCUGGAGCAAUGAAGAAAGAUUCUCAAAUUUGGGGCUAAUGAGAGAACAUUAUUGAGGUUUCUAAAAUUAUGCAUGUCCAGAUAAAGUGGAUAAAGUGUUUGUGGGAGUGCGCACAAUCUCCAUAAUCAUGACCAGGAGGAACUAGCUGACUUUCCAUGAUAUACGGUUGCCAGAGGUGGUUGUUUCUCUAAAUUUGUGUUAUGCCACACUUCCCAUGGCAGCCAUUUUGUGUUAUGCCACUCCCCCUCCAUGGUAGCCAUUUUGUGAAUUUUGUGACAUUGCCCGAGCACGUGCUCUAAAUUUGAAAUGUGCCAACUGGUCCAAAAAGCUUAGCGACCUUGGCGGUAUUCAGUUGAUCAACUGUGCCAUCUAAGCUAUUUUGCUUUUCACUCUGUCCAUAAGGUUAAAGGUAAAGGACCCCUGGAUGGUUAAGCCCAAUCAAAGGCGACUAUGGGGUUGCGGCGCUCAUCUCGCUUCAGGCUGAGGGAGCCAACUUUCCGGGUCAUACGGCCAGCAUGACUAAACCACUUCUGGCACAAAGGGACACAGUUACGAGUGCCAGAGAGCAUGGAAACACCAUUUACCUUCCUGCUGCAGUGGUACCUAUUUAUCUACUUGCACUGGUGUGCUUUCAAACGGCUAGGUUGGCUGAAGCUAGGGCAGAGCAACGGGAGCUCACCACUGUUGAGCGGAUUCAAACUGUCAAUCUUACGAUCAGCAAGCCCAAGAGGCUCAGUGGUUUAGACCACAGCGCCACCCAUGUCCAACUCUGUCCAUAUCUAUCUAUCUAUCUAUCUAUCUAUCUAGCUGAAGAACUGCGAAAGAUAUAAUUUUUAAUGCUCUUAAAACAGUAAUUUCAGGACUCUAGUCCACAAAUCACUUAAGGCAAUUAAUUUCUACUUAAUUGGCUUUAUCCCUGUGGAUUCUAAUGGAGCAAGACACUUUAGCCGCACGUUUCUUGGCUUAAGUAGCUUGUGGAUCUUUGCCAUAAUCUGUAAAACCAUUAAAAAAUUGAAUGGAUUUAUUCAUAGUAUAGGGAUCAUUUUUCACCCUCUCCCCUCAUAAACCUCCAUAUGCCUGAACCAUUUUGUUGCUUUUAAUCUUAGCAGAAGUUUUUACUUGUAACUUAUAAUUUAUUGUAACAUCUUUCUUUAAAAAAAAAUGGUUUUAAAAAGGAAGGAUCAAGGGGGAUGGGGGGGGAGCCCCAAGUGUAUUGCAGACUCCAGAAAAUGUCUCAUUGUUUCUUAAAUAUAAAGUACCCAUCUUCUGCCCCCUUGAUGAUAACUGGCAUGUUUGAAUCAGGCUACACUAUAGGUCACAACACUGUGCUGAAUGAUUAAUAAUAAUAAUAAAUAUUUGCUAGGCGCUUUAAGUCAUUAAUUCAUCAUUUGGGCCAAUAACAAACCAGCAAAAAAGACAUUAAUAUUCCCAAUUAAUAAAAGGCUAAUUGAAGAUGAAUUAUAACGAUGCGCUCAAUGCCACCUAAUAAAUUUAGUUUCUUGGGAGAAAUGAUCAUCAGGCUUGGGUGAAAAGGCAAUAAAUGAUGAUUAAGUCAUUGUGGGACAGCCAGCAAGGACUCAGCUGUCUAAGUUUAUUACAGCAGGGAUCCUCAACCUGGGAAUUGUAGCUCCAUUGUGGGAGUAGGGGGUUUCCUAACAUUUUCCAGCUGCAGCUCCCAGAAUCCUUUUGGGGAAGCCGUGACUCUGUUAAGUGAAAGAAUAGUGCUUUAAAUGUAUGGUGUGACUCAGUUUUAAAUCAGGGUUCCCCAAAGUUAGGUCUCCAGCUGUUUUCAGAUUGCAACUCCCAUCAUCCCUAGCUAGCAGGACCCAGUGGUCAGGGAUGAUGGGAAUUGUAGUCCAAAAGCAGCUGAAGACCCAAGUCUGGGAAAGCCUGGUUUAGAUGACCUCUUGGCCCAAUCCAGCAGAGCUGGGUGCAGUCCUAUGUUCACUAUUUUACACAACAUGUUUAUUGCCACAUUUUUUUUAAAAAAAAAUCUACCCUGAGCCUUUGAGAUGUGACAAGUCCCACCUUUAAAGAAAUAAAUCUACCUCUCUUUGUCCAUCAGCACUGAAACAGUGGUAAGCAGUAAACCUAAUAGCCUAUUCAGCCAUAUAUAUAUAUAUAUAUAUAUAUAUAUAUAUAUAUCCCAAGAGUUCCCUCCUCUUGCUACUCCCAGCUUUUCUUUUGCUCGGUGCUUUCCAGCUUCUCGGAUAGCUGGGGGGGCUGGGCAGGCGAGCUGGGAAAUUGUUUACAAUAUUUUCACAUGAUGGCGAUGGCAGAGUUCUCGCACUCUCUGAAAGGCCUUCUGUUUUCGGAUGGCAUUGAAAGUUUACCGUCUUCCCAGACAAAAGGAAGGGAGGCCGUUGCCAGCGGAUGAGUAAUGGGCAUGGCCUCAGCACAAUGCCCUCCUAUCCAGGCCUAAAUCUACAUGGUGUUCUAAGGCUUCCCUCCUUCUCCAAAGCAACCAUUGUCUGGCCUCCGGGAGACCGAGGCCACUCAUUGGAUGUGGGGAAGCAGCCAAAAAAAUGGUGUGUGGGGAGGAGGAGGAGGAGGGGGAAAUCUCUCUGACAACAACAGUUGCUCAGUGCCCCCACUAUCUGCCUCUUUGCUCUUCUGCUACGGUCCUUGGAAAAUUUUCCGUCCUGGGCAUGGUUUUUAUAUACCGAUAAGUUGCAGACCAUCUGUGGUACACCUAGUUCCCAAAGAUUAUAGAAACUAAGUUUAAGUGUUUUGUUUCUUUUCUUUUUCUUCCUUUAUCUGCUUAUGCUGAUGAAGUGUUCUGGGAGGAGUGAUAAAAGCAAAAAGAGAGAGCUUUAUUUAGUGUAUUUAACAGCGGGAAAUGAAAGUCCCUGUCUUUAUUUCCCCAUUUGCAGAAAGGGAGGGUUGCUUUUAAACCUUCAUUAUUAUUACAGUCAUACCUUGGGUUGAAGUAGCUUCGGGAUAACUAUCUUUGGGUUGCGUGCUGCGGCGACCCAGAAGUAAUGGAGCACGUUACUUCUGGGUUUUGCCGCUUGCGCAUGCGCAGACGGUCAAAAUGACGUCAUGCGCAUGCUUAGAAGUGGCAAAUCGCGACAUGCGCAGGCAUGGGUUUCGUUCGCUUCUGGAUGCGAACGGGGCUCCGGAACGGAUCCUGUUUGCAUCCAGAGGUACCACUGUACUUUUAAAAAAAAAUUAAUCCUCUAUUUGAAUGCAUGUUUACAUCCGCAUAGUUUAGACAACUCAGAUCAUUAUUACUCCCUUCCUCUGUGUCAUUCUAAGCUCUGAGUUACUGAGAAGGGCAAAUAAUUAUAAUAAUCAUAGUAUCAGUUCAGCUUUCAGUCUUUCUCUUUCAACUGAAACUAUUUGGAAAAUCAUCCAAAUAUAUUUCUUGGCCCACUCACUUGCCACAACGCAGGAUCGAGCAACUGAGGAGCAAUUCUGAGGCUUUCACAAUGCAUUUGCUAAGUGUGGCAAAAUAAAAAUAAUAUUGAAUGCCCUUGAAUGUUCAAGCUAAUGAAUGCCAGCAUCAAGUCCUGAUUCUUUCCUACUAAUUUAAUUUGCUCAAACAUUGUGUUAUUGUGCAUCAGCAGAACAAAAAGCUGGGAGAUAUUUUUUCCCCAGUAGAAGCUGCUUGCUGCAUGUUAUCAGUAGAUAAAACCACUUUUAACUUAGAGUUCUGGCCAUCUUUGGUACAACCAAUAUGUUAAAAACUGUUUUUGAAAACUAUUUGCCAGAUGCAUCUAGUUAAGUUUAAAUCAUCCGUUUCAAUCUCAAAACUUCUCUUCCUUCCAUUCCUUCGAAGGAGGGAAAAAAAAAAGGGAGUUAAAUGUUUAAAACUCCAUUAGAAUAGUUUGGCAUUGUUCCCUGUCCUGAAUAGCAUGUCAGCUGAAACACAUUGCUAAAGCAAACGAAAAGACAGUUUGAAAGAGCAUGACCAUACAGAAUUUCCCUGUGGUUGCUCUUAAAGAAGCCUUGCUCCCUCGCCACCCCCUUUUCUUUUUAAACGUUUGAGAUACUUUGCAUAAGUCAUUGCAACUGAAGCAUUGGCCAGUACAUGUCCCAUUGAGCACAUGGGACAAUUGCACAAAACUACAAUUGUGCAGUCAUUUUGUACCAUUCCCAUCUGCGCAACACUAUUUAUUUAUUUAUCUUGAAAAAGCAUAACCUGCUUGAUGAGAAAAAAAAAUGUGGAUAGAAUCCAACUGCAUCCCAUAAACCUAUUAAAAACAAAUAUGCAUAACACCGUCGUUGUUAAAAACAAAGAUAAAAUCAAUAAAACUUUGAAACAAAUACAGGUAACUAAAUCAUAAGAAAAAUGUUUGGCAGAUAUCUAAAACAAUAUAGUAAGGGCACCAGCCUAAUGUCAAUAGCCAGGGAGUUCCAUAGUACAAUUAGGGAUGGAGGAGAAAUUCUCUUCAGUUUGCAUUUAAUGCAGAUUUUAUCAAUUUUGCACUUUCUGAAUCAAAUAAUCAAUCAACGUGAGAACCCAAACACAUCCAUCCAUUGAAAUUCGCGCUUAUCCCAAAACAGCUGCAGAGUUCCCCAACCAAGCAAUGUUUCCAAAAAUGUAUAUAGUUGGGGAAAAUAUGUGUAAAAAUCAACAUAUUAGGGGAAAUAAUGUACCAACAUAUAUUGCAUUCAGAUAAAUUGUUUGCAAAAAUCUGUGCAUUAAUCAAAAUUGCCUGCAAAAAAAAUGUGUCUGUUAGGAGGAAUUUGCACUCAAAGGUUGAAGAAUUUUCAUGAGGAUUUUUUUUUAAAAAAAAAUCACUAAUGUGGGGAACCAAAUUUAAGACUGGAAAAACGAGAAACCGAGAGAACCAACUUUUAUAGGUCCUUCUAUCCCUGUCCCAACACACAGAGAUCCGAGAGAAGCCCAUGCAUGCACAGGGACAUUGGAAGCAGGGUUUGUCCUGUUCCUCUGCACUUUUAAGCCACAUGUGCACAGGCAGAUAUCUGAAGAGGGCCAGAGUUGGAAGAACCUCAAAGGACAUGUAGUCCAACCCCCUUGCAGUUUCAGGGAAUGUGCUCCUACAGCGUCCCUAAUCAGUGGCCGUCCAGCCUCUGCUUAAAAACCUCUAAUGAUAGUGAGGCAGGUAGCUUGGGUGUCAGAAUCCCUGUUUAGGGAAGCUUUUAAUGUUUAAUAGACUACAGUGGUACCUCGGGUUACAUACGCUUCAGGUCACAUACGCUUCAGGUUACAGACUCCGCUAACCCAGAAAUAGCGCUUCAGGUUAAGAACUUUGCUUCAGGAUGAGAACAGAAAUCAUGCUCCGGCGGCGCAACAGCAGCAGGAGGCCCCAUUAGCUAAAGUGGUGCUUCAGGUUAAGAACAGUUUCAGGUUAGGUACGGACCUCCGGAUCGAAUUAAGUACUUAACCCGAGGUACCACUGUAUUGUAUUUUAAUAUUCUGUUGGAAGCUGCCCAGAGUGGCUGGGGAAACCCAGCCAGAUGGGCGGGGUAUAAAUAUUAUUAUUAUUAUUAUUAUCAUUAACCACGAUGGCUAUGCCCUCCACAGUUGGAGGCAGCAAUGCUUCUGAAUUUUGGGGAAACCACAGGAAGGGUGAGCCAUUGACCUGAAGCAGCAGGCUGUUCUGAUGUUCUAGCCACCAGGAAUUCAGAUGAUGCCUUCAGAUGUCUUCUAAAAGUCUGGUAGUUGUUUUUCUCUUUGACAUCUGGUGGUAGGGCAUUCCACAGAUGCCACUACUGAGAAGGCCCUCUGCCUGCUUCCCUGUAACUUCCCUGGACUGAGGCCUUUUAGUAUGUGUCUGAGCACAAUCCAAACUGUUGGUGUUGACCUUGAAAGGCCUACACAGCUUUGGCCCUGUGUACCUGAAGGAGCGUCUCCACCCCCGUCGUUCAGCCCGGACACUGAGGUCCAGCUCCGGGGGCCUUUUGGCGGUUCCUUCACUGUGAGAAGUGAGGUUACUGGGAACCAGGCAGAGGGCCUUCUCAGCAGUCACACCACUUUGGCGAAUGCCCUCCUGGCAGAUGUCAAAGAGUUAAACAACUAUAUAAAUUUCUGUAGGCAUCUGAAGGCAGCCCUGUUUCAGCAAGCUUUUAAUGUUUGAUGCUAUAUUUUUGUUGGAAGCUACCCAACGAAAAUAAUUUAUUUAUAAAUUAUGAUGAUAAUAUUAUUAUUAUAAAUAAAUAAAUAUCCUUUUUUAACUGUGGUGCCCAGACCAGGACCAGGUGAAUACUGACCAAAGAAGGAUUGAUGCUGACCAAACCUCUACCUUUCAUUCCUGAAGCCAGAUAAAAUUCCACAACUCCAUUUAUAUCCCCAAAUUGACUGGACUUUAAAGGUUUCCCUGAGAUGGAAGGCAGCCUAUGGCACGCACCCAGGACACUCCACGCAAAUGCCUGAACCAACUUUGAAGCUAGGAAGCAGUGCCCUUUGUUGGUUGACAUUCCAGUGGUUGCAGGAGCAGCAUGCCUCAAGGGCUGGCCUCUUAUGUAUUCUAUUGAAACAGGUGAGAAGGAGUGUGGAAUUUGCAAUUUGAAAGCAUUUGCAGCCAAAGAGAAGGGCUGCGGAAUGGUAGUGGGGCGGCAGCGGAAGGGGGGGGGUUGGCCUACAGCCAGUGGAGAGGGAUUGAGAUUGCUUGACAGGGAUAUUUUGGCUUGCAGAAUGAGGGAGGAGCAGCUGCUUUGACAUGAGAGAGUGAGUUUUGGACAUCAAUGAGGGGUGUUUGGGAAGUGAGCUUAAAAGAUUGGGAUAUGGAACUCACCUUGGCCUAAAAAGGAGAGAAUUAAAGGCAGCAUUAGACAGUGCUGAGAACGAUGUUCACAAGCGAGGCAUUGGCAAGGGGAAAGUUAAAAAACAACCACUGGUCCUAUUGCUGGCUCCCUUCCUUAUCAAAAACUGUCUUUUUUCAGUGAUGAAUUAUAUAUCUCAUCCUGGACUAGGAAUGCUCGAGGGAUUUGAUCUUUGUGGAUUCCUGUAUUGGGGUAGGGAACCUUAAGCUCUCCAGAUGUUGUUGAACUACAACUCCCAUCAGCACCAGCAGGCAUGGCCAAUGCCCAAGGAUGAUGGGAGUUGUAGUUCUGUAACAUCUGGAAGGUCAAAGGUUCCCUGCAUUGGCCCUACAUGAAUUGACCUGAUCUAUACAUUUUGGACUAACGUAUAGAUUUCAGAGGCAGUUUUUUGCACUUGCAUGAAUUUUUCGAUGCAAGUUCUCAGCUUAAAAAGCAUAUCCAAAUGCGUAUACUUUGGCCACGUCUACACGGUACGUUUACCAAAGCUACAAUUCCCAGAGUGCUUUAACAGUCAAUCGCUCUUCACAGGAAACCCUGGGAACUGUAGCUCUGUGAGGGGAAUAGGGGCUCUCUGAACAACUCUCAGCACCUUUAACAUACACUCUGGGGGAAGCCAUGACUGUUUAACUCUUGAGAGUCCCAUGGACUGCAAGAAGAUCAAACCUAUCCAUUCUUAAGGAAAUCAGCCCCGAGUGCUCACUAGAGGGACAGAUCGUGAAGCUGAGGCUCCAAUACUUUGGCCACCUCAUGAGAAGAGAAGACUCCCUGGAAAAGACCCUGAUGUUGGGAAAGAUUGAGGGCACAAGGAGAAAGGGACGACAGAGGACGAGAUGGUUGGACAGUGUUCUCGAAGCUACCACCAUGAGUUUGACCGAACUGCGGGCGGCAGUGGAAGACAGGAGUGCCUGGCGUGCUCUGGUCCAUGGGGUCAUGAAGAGUUGGACAUGACUAAACGACUAAACAACAACAACAACAACAACAACAACAACAACAACGACUGUUUAAAGUGGUAUCAUAGGACUUUAAAUGUAUGGUGUGAAUGUGGCCUUUGACAGCUCUUGUGACAUGUCUGGUGGGGCAGAACUCUGGAACUGCCCGGAUACUGGUCACAACUGCUUACCUGGACAGGGCUGGUUGUCUCUGUGGCAGCAACACCCCCAAUCCAGCAGCCCUGCUGCCAUCAUAUUGUGGUCCCAGAUUUUUACAGAUUAAUUAAUGCAGAGAAGUGAAGAAACAGGCUUACUUAUGAAUGACCUGGAUCAGAACUCGAAAAGUCACAUGGAAGAGUAGACUCAUCAUCUUGCCAUUUGCUGAGUGGAUAAUUUGAUUUUGACACUCUUUGGAAAUCUUUUAGCUCUGGGGUGGCAGAAGUGUCUGAAUUCCACUGAACUCGGAGUCUUUACCCUAAUUUUAACUGCAACUGCUACUCUUUUCAGAGCCUUGUAUUGACAGUGGUGGUGAUGGAGACUCCACCCUCCAAGCACCUUGAUUCUUUGGAAGUGACAAGGCUUUUCUUGGGUUACUUCAGCUUUACAAUGGGACCAAUGUCCUCUACAUCACUAUUCCUGAACCUUGGGUCCCCAGGUACGGGUGGACUACAACUCCCAUCAGCCUUGGCCAUUACACUAAGCUGGCUGUGGAUGAUGGGAGUUGUAGUCCACCCAGAUCUGGGUACCCAAGUACAUGAUAUAAACUAAACAGGUCAACCAUGCACCUUCAUGCACUUUUGGUUCCAGUUUUAGACUUGUGACACACUUCAGUCUGUAUUUCCUUGGUCAAUUGCCCGCUGGGCCAUGACAUUACCCAGCUAGGCUCUACCCCUAACCCAACCUACUCAUAGUAGACAAGAGUGUUCCUAUUUUCAUCUGUAAAAUAUUGGGGUAUUACAGUACAAGUGUUGAUGGAUUUCAGCUGUUACUCACAUUCAGCAGCUUCUCUGUUUUACCUUCUGCUAUAUCAGUUCAACAGGUGGAAACCAAUACAGCGAAACUAUGAAGCGGCUAUCUACAGCUCAAAAGCCUUCAUAAAGAAGAAGGUUUUGACUAGUUUGGCUUUCUUGCUUGAGAUGUCUGGAGAUUGCUUGGAGUUCACAUGUGCUUGCUCUCUAGCUUACAUUUAUGACUUGCGGGUGAUUUGGGUGUGUCACUAUGUGUGAACUGAAUGGUUUUUAGGUAGCGUGAAAUUCCAUAGCUGGAAUCCAAAGUGCUCUUUUGGAGUUAGAAUCAUAGAAUUGUUGAGUUGGGAGGAACCAUGUGGAACCAACCCUCGGCAAUGCAGGAAUCCUUUUGUCCAACGUGGGGCUUGAACUCACGACUCCGAUAUUAAGAGUCUCAUGUUCUACUGACUGAACUAGGCCUUUUAGAUUCCCAAGCGGUUUAGUCAUGCUGGCCGCAUGACCCAGAAAGCUUUGUCUCUGGACAAAUGCCUGCUCCCGCAGCCUGAAAAGCAAGAUGAGCGCUGCACCCCAUAGUCACCUGUGACUGGACUUAACCAUCCAGGUGUCCUUUACCUCACUUUUAGAUCCCCCCAUGCUAAAAUACUCCAUUUGUAACAGUUUCAAAACUCAUUUGCUAUGGACACUUGUGUGUGUCUGGCUGUGUAUACACCAUACCUUUAAAGCACAUUCAAAACACAAUGAUUUCCUGCAAAGAAUUCUGGGCACCGUAGUUUACCUCUCACACAGUUACAUCUCCCAGCAACCCUUGGCAAACUACAGGGCCCAGAAUUCUUUGAGGGAAAGAAUGUGUUUCGAACGUGCUUUAAGGUUAUAGCGUGUACACAGCUUGUGCAUUGUUUGAGAAACACAAACACAGCCUCCCUUGGGGGUUUGUGCAGAACUAGUUACAUGGUUCUUUGGAUUCUGGAGGAUGAUUGUAAUUAGCAGUGAAAGAAAAGGCUUGAAUUGCAGGGUAUUCUUAACUAGCAUGUUUUCCCUCAGAUUUGAUCUUCUCUCCCCAGUCGUUUUCCUGAGAAGGCAGGCUUUUCAGACUCAGUGAAGAUGAGGAUGAAACGUAUCAGGUUUCUUUAACUUCUCAUUCAGGAGGUUUAAGUCACAUCUCAUAUUUCAUAAACUUUUGCAGCAUCAGUUCAAGCCAAAAAGCUCUAGCAAUGUUUUGAGAAACUAAAACUCCCCAACCCCUUUUGAACCUGGGUCAUCAUAAGUGGACUGUGCACUGGCGAUCUUGAGUAAGUAGACCCAUGUUGUUGUUAUUCUUUUUCUUUUCUUUUCUUUUUUAAAAAGAAAUCACACAGAAAUGCCUUGUAAAGUGGCCUGGUUCACACGAGAAAUGAAGUAUGAGAUCAUAAAGACAUUAUACCAUGAAUGCUCUCUUUCUGCUGCUCUAAGAAUAGGUGGCUUGGAGGGUGAAAGGGUAGCAUUUACAUUUAAAUACACCUAUUGGGAACACACAAACAGAAGGCUAAAACUGUGGCACCCUCAUUGAAACCUUUGGGAGUUUCUGCAGCCUCUUUGGUUCUUUACAUAACAGUCCCUUUGCUCUUUCUCAAGCGAGCAAAUAUAGGAAGCCAAAGGACUCGUUGGCUGAAAAGAAACCCAGCCCUCAAAAGUGUUUGCAUGGUUGGACCGACUGACUAAUUAUUUUAAAACAGAAUCAGUGUAAUUUUCAUGCACGUUCAGCACGCUGGUUGUUCAUCAUCAUCAUCAUCAUCAUCAUCAUCGCAGUACGUUAAUUAAUUGCAAUAAUAUUUAUGUACUAAUAUUACCUUUGUUAUCAUUUUAAAUUUCAACCGCCGAGAACCCGUUUUCUAGGUGACUUGCAGAACGAAACUAUUGCAUGGUCUUUAAAAACCCAAUAACUUAAACAACAAAAAUUGAUGAAAAAUAAUAACACAAAGCUUUCCCUUGUGGAGAGAGAUGAGCAGAGCAUUUCCACCCUCUGGAUAUGCUGGCUGGAGGGAGAUAGGACUGAGCAGAGUUGAGUUUGGGGAGGAAAGCUCAGCAGGCAUUCAUAGAACCAUAGACAGCAAGGGCCAUUAUUUAUUAUUUAAAAACAUAAAGGUAAAGGACCCCUGACAGUUAAGUCCAGUCACAUACGACUCUGGGGUUGCAACACUCAUCUUGCUUUACAGGCCGAGGGAGCCAGCAUUUGUCCACAGACAGUUUUUCUGGGUCAUGUGGCCAGCAUGACUAAGCCAGAGCAUUGAACGGAAACAACAUUUACCUUCCCGCCGGAGUGCUACCUAUUUAUCUACUUGCAUUUUUGGCGUGCUUUCGAACUGCUAGGUUGGCAGGAGCUGGGACAGAGCAAUGGGAGCUCACCCCAUCGCGGGGAUUCGGACCACUGAUCUUCUGACCGGCAAGCCCAAGAGCAGGGGUAGGCAACCUAAGGCCCAGGGGCCAGAUGCGGCCCAAUCACCUUCUCAAUCUGGCCCGCAGAUGGUCCAGGAGUCAGUGUGUUUUUACAUGAGUAGAAUGUGUCCUUUUAUUUAAAAUGCAUCUCUGGGUUAUUUGUGGGGCAUAGGAAUUUGUUCAUUCCCCCCCCCAAAAAAAAAAAUAUAGUCCGGCCUACCACAUGGUCUGAGGGAUGGUGGACCGGCCCACGGCUGAAAAUGUUGCUGACCCCUGCCCAAGAGGCUCAGUGGUUUAGACCACAGCGCCACCUGUAUCCCUUUUAUUAUUAGUAAUAUUAUUAUUAAUUAAUUAAUUAAAUUUACCUACACCCACAGGUCUUAGGGCAGUUCAUCAAGUACAACCCCCUGUAAUGCAGGAAUCCUUUGCCCAACAUGGGACUCAAACCCAUUGAUAAGUUUGCAGCCAGCAGAAGCUGGGCUUAGGGCUCCAAACAGGGCAUUUUGGUGUCAGGGCAGAGGUGUGAUCCAGAUGUGCAAGCACACCUGCCCAAUCUUAACCAACUCCAGACAUCAGAUCUUGGGAGGUAGGAUUUAUCUUUCUGUCUCUGUUAGGAAAGCUUUUAUGUUGCUGUUUGCUCCGCCCACUUUUGCCUCUGGCCCCGCCCACCCCCAGCAUGUGGUCCUCCCAGAGUUUUUUCAGAAAGGAAUGUGGUGCUCAGGACAGAAAAGGCCCCUCAACUCUCCCUUUCCCCUUGCCCUCAUUCGUUGGGCAUUUUUACUCGUUUCUGAUCUAAUGAUGCAAGCGUUCCAACAAGCCUCAUGGGCCAAGUACAAUGUUGCUUCAUUUUCCCAGAGAAAGUGAACAAACAUCUCCAGCGUAUGCCAAGGAAUGACUUAUGGGUGGCAGAACACUUGCCACCUGGAGCAAAUAGAAACCAAAGCCGUGUGGAAUGAGGUCCUCUUGCCAGCGUGAUCUGGCAGCCUCCUCUGAGGAAGCUCAGCAAGAGCAUCAAAACACAACAUAAUAGAAACAUUGCCACCCGAUCCCACCCCCAUCCAUCUUCCCUCCCUCCACCCCCCUUUCUUUUUCCUUUCUUUUUUCUUCUCCUCCCCCUAAUGCCUCAACAAAUGAAACGGAUUUGUAAAAAUGUUACAUGGGGAAAAAAAUACGAGGCAUUACACUUCUGUAAAACAAGAAAAUCCUUAAUAAAAUAUUUUUUUUUUAAAAAAAAUGCAGCACUGUUUGCAAUCCAGUCACGUUCCCCCUUCCCUGGUUUGCUUUUCAUUGCCUUUUGCAAAUAUUGCAUUAUAACACCAACGUGACAGAAAUCAAAUGCCAUCCUUGUUUUUUGUUGCGAAAACUGCCUGCACAUCCAACCAACUUACAGUCUUUGAUAGUAGGAAAGUCUCUGUAGGCCUUGAGCCUGAAUGCAGGUGCAUACAGGGAAUCAAAAUAUGUAUUGUCCCAUACAGAACAACGAAACUGAAAAAAUCUACAUCAGACAUUCAAAAACCAACGAGCUUCCCCAGCUAUCCCAGCCUGGUUAACCCCCUAAAAACUCUGAUACCCCAUAAUUAAAUACAAUAUACUCCCACAGAGACUACCUUACACUGCAUUUAAAACCAAAAUCGCAUUUGGAUAAAAACUGUUUCUCAGGCGGCUAGUCCUAGUCUUUAUAACCCUGUACCUUCUUCCAGAAGGCAGAAGCUGAAAGAGAUCAUUUCCGGGGUGCGUACUAUCCUGCACUAUCACUGCAGCUUUCUUAUGACACCUGGAAGCAUAGAUUUGAUCCAAGGUGGGAAGAGUGCACCCAAUUAUUCUCUCCGCAGUCUUUACAACCCUGGACAGCAUUGUUUUUCCCCUGACCAUGCAGCUCCCAAACCACACACACAGACCAUAAGUUAAUACACUCUCAACAGUACAAUGGUAAAAUGCCAUCAACAGGUCCUUUGAGAGAUUAUUUUUCCGGAGGAUUCUCAGAAAAUAUAACCUCUGCUGUGCUCUCUUCAUCAAGUCUUUACUGUUUUCUCCCCAGGUUAGGUCAUCUCUCAACUCCAUUCCCAGAAAUCGAAACACCGAGACCUGUUCCACACACUUCCCCUCAAUAAUGUCUGUGUUAAUCAUGUAACUCCAAAAAAAGAGAGAUAACCCAGCUUCUGUCUAGUUCAGGAGUAGGGGAUCCUCAGGGACAGGGCACACGUUGCUCUCUAUCUGGCACUCGGUACUCUCUACUCUCACCACACCACACCCCUCACAGUCUCCGUCCACACCCUCCUUGACUCUUUUGCCUGACUGGAUUGCUCAUAGAAUCAUAGACUUGUAGAGCUGAAAAGGACCCCACAGGGUCUUCUACUUCAACCCCUCGCAAUCCAGGAAUCUCAGCUAAAGCACCCAUGACAGAUGAUCAUACAACCUUGUUAUUAUUAAUUAUUAUUUUUUCAAUUUGUAUACCGCCCUUUGCCUGUAGGCAGUUCACAACAUGAAAACACAAGGUAAAAAAACAAAACACAUAAUAAAAACAAGAACAAAAACAAACCAAUAACGCCCCCCCCCAUUGUGUCCUGGAAGUCUGCUUACGCCUCUCACUUGUUUGGAUGGAAACUAGAGAGGGGUUUGUGAGUGUGGGAAAACUAACCUGCUGCCCAAAGGUAAAAUGGACCUUCAUUGCUCUACCCAGCUUUGCCUCUGGUCUACUCCUACCACUGGCAAGUGGCCCCUGGAAGAUUGCCCGGGAAGGAAUGCAGCCCCUGGGACAGAAAAGGUUCCCCAUCCCUGGUCAUGUUAUACCGCUGGUUUCCUUUUUAUUACUCCUGUUCACCAUUUGUAACUUACACAGUUUCACCAGCAAACAGAGCAAAAAGAGAGACCAUUCCCUCCAAUUUUAGAAGAAGAGGAAGUGGCGAAACCAAUUUGGUGAACCAAUGUGAGGGGAGAUGCAGUUUGCCAUACUUCCAGCAAGGGAUGAGAAUAACGGUGUUAAGCCUCAGUCUACAUGGCAAUGGGGGCUGGUGGUACACUAAUUGGUAACUGCAGAGUUAAAUACUGACCACAUGCACAUCAUACCUUUAAAGCACUAGGACACAAUUUUCAACAGCCAUGGCUUCCCCCAUAAUAUUCUGGGAGCAGUAAUUUGUUAAGGGUGCUCAGAGUUGUUAGGGGAUUCCUACUCCCAUCACAGGGCUACAGUUCCCAGAUUGGCACAAUAAUCCCUCUUCCCAGGGAACUCUGGGAAUUGUUGCUCUGGGAGGAGAAUAGUGGUUGGAAAAUAUCACAAAAUUUGUCUGAGUGCAAAUUUCAAAGGAUGGCUAUGUUUUUGUUUGCAUAUUGUUUUGGAGAGUGAGAAUUUGAUAGAUUUAGUUUUAAAUACGAAUGGAAUCAAAUUUCCCCCGUAUCACUAGAGUCAAGUAUAUGUGUCAUUGGAGGAGAUCACCCACAGCAGGAAAAAAAUUUGCAUUGGCUUCUCUUUGUAUGCAUUUCUGUGGGCACUCCAAAAUUCUAAGCCUGAUACUGAACAAAGCCAGCAAAAGAUUGCACCAUCAAUAGAAAACAAACUUUCUGGUGAGUUGAACUAAUCAGGCUUACCAAUGUCAUUUGCAAAUAGCUAAAUGUAGUAACAUCCCCCCCGCACACACAUACUCACACACAUGCAAAACCAAGCAACCAACAAUUCACUCAGAACAAGUCUUGGCACCGCAGUGCAACAAACAGAAAAAGCUUGAUUUGGUUCUAGCCAACUUGGAAUUCAGAGACUGAUUUAGAGCAGUGCUUCUCAGGCUAUAGCAAAUUAUCUGCAAGGCCCUUGGUGAAAUGUCAGAGUGGAAUUUUUAACCUUGGUUCACUUGUUUGCCAGCUGGGAAUACCAGCUUCUCCUUUAGCCCGUGAAGCCCAUUACAACUCCUGGCUUGCGCAGUGCAUAAAAUUGGCAGGCUCCUCUGUUUUAGAAAUGCUAUACAGAUUAUACACUUGAUUAACAGACCACCAUCUCCACCUAAACUGACUCAAGCCUGUUUUGUAACACCUCUGCUUGACUGAGGACCAUUUACCAACACUGGUCUGCCCCCCCCUUUCAUUUUUAAAUCUAUAUGAAUCUGGAAGAUGUGAAAUACAAUAAAUAAAAAGAAGGGGGGGACAGUGCAACCCCCUCCCACCAGGGUUCACAGCUUCAUAAAAUAAUAUGCAUUUACAAGAGACUACUACUUAGAUAUUACAAAAAAAAUAUGGACCUGAUACAGAAAGAAUACAAAACAAAUGAUAUUAAUACCAAAUAAAGCCAUAUUUCUGUGGGACUUGUUAUCCCCCUGAUUCACCUAUCGUAUAAGUAAGGAAUGGCCACCAAACCAAGGCAAAAUUCAUAGGUUUAUGUGCACUCUGAGAUACCCUUUAAUUAUGUCAAUUUCUCAGAGAUGAGAAUAAAUGAUACUUUAUUGAACCAAAUAUUUAACGAAAAAACCCAAUUACUCCUUCCAGCAGCUAUAAUAGAAAAAUUGUGAGUGGUUUGCAUAUUAUAGUCUGUAUUCAACUCCUCAAAAAUUGAUAAAAUACACAAUUUGGUUUCAUUUCAGAAAUUUCCUUUAUUGCCUCUUCCCAAAUUUUGGUCACUUAUUUUGCAAGGCCACCAUAUGUGCCAAUAGGUUCCUCUUUCAUUAUAUCCCCUCCAACACAUGGGGGAACCAAUGCUAGUUACACGUGCAAGACAGACUAGAGUCAAGAACAAUUGAUGGGUUAUUUUAAAGGAGAUUUCUCAGAUAUUUGUAGAGACAGAUCUGAAAGGGGUAGCAGGCCACAGUUUUCCCCACUGCACAUUGUCCAAUAGACAUCCAAGAUGCAUUCCCUGAACAGAUUGCAAAAAAGGGUUCUGUUUUGUGUUGUGGUGCAGCUAGACUGGUGACUAGGAGCGGCUGCCGAGACCAUAUAACACCAGUCUUGAAAGACCUACACUGGCUCCCAGUACGUUUCUGAGCACAAUUCAAAGUGUUGGUGCUGACCUUUAAAGCCCUAAACGGUCCAGUAUACUUGAAGGAGCAUCUUCACCUCCAUCGUUCUGCCCGGACACUGAGGUCCAGCGUCGAGGGCCUUCUGGCAGUUCCCUCCUACGAGAAGCCAAGUUACAGGGAACCAGGCAGAGGGCCUUCUCAGUAGUGUCACCCGCCCUGUGGAACGCCCUCCCACCAGAUGUCAAAGAGAGAAAUAACUACCAAACUUUUAGAAGACAUUUGAAGGCAGCCCUGUUUAGGGAAGCUUUUAAUGUUUAAUAGAUUAUUGUAUUUUAGUGUUCUGUUGGAAGCCGCCCAGAGUGGCUGGGGAAACCCAGCCAGAUGGGCAGGGUAUAAAUAAUAAAUAAUAAAUAAUAUAAUAAUAAUAAUAAUAAUAAUAAUAAUAAUAAUAAUAAUAAUUAGUGUGUGAUGGAACUGAAGAAACAACUUUUUUAUAUUCCUUGAUCAGAACAUAAGAAUUGCCUUGCCAGAUCAGAUGAAAGUCAGUCUUAUUUGGCCUUCUGUUUCCAAAAGGCUUUCAGGUUCGUGUUCCAUUGAAAAGCGUGCAUCUGCAGCAAAGAUGGAGAACGUGUAGCCCUCCGGAUGUUGUUGGAUUCCUAGUCCCAUUGGUCAGUUUGGUGGUCAAGGCUGGUGGGAGUUGGGACACUUCCAGACAGUUCACUAUUUGGGGGUUGAAUUCAGUCCCAUACUGGAAAAUUAGGCUGAAAGAUGGGUAAUUAACAACAACAACAUCAACCACAGAGUUCAACCUGCUCGCUAAUAAUUGUCAAACUACCAACCACUGCAUGUAUUUACUCGUUUCCUUAUUCCCCAGACAACUGCUGAAGAGACAGAGCGUCUCUUUAUCACUGUGAUAAACAUGAUGUUCCCCUCACACAAAGUUCCUAUCAAGAAUGACCUUUAAUAUCAAACUGCUGCAAUCUUUUUUUUAAAAAAAGUAAUGCCUUCUUUUACAGCUUGCAGAAGCCAGUGGCCUGUGUGUGUAUGUGUGUAGAGGAGCGUGGAGAGGCUGUGGAGAGUCAAGGAAAAUUCAUGAUACAGCUCUUGUUUUUAACCCAGCUAAUUAAAAUCUGCAUGCGCGGAGUGUAACUGAGAAUGUAGCCUUCGCCCACCACUUUCCCACAGGCAGGGAAUAAAGGUCUUCAGUGUACCAGAAGCUCGCCGGUCUUUGGAAAACAGAGAACAGAGCUCACAAUUCAUCCCGGCAUCCCUUAUCAAGUCUUUGGAGUUCAACCCCCCCUUCCCUUCAGUCCCCGCCCCCAUCGCUACAACAGAACCCCUUACUGUCAGGGUCUACGUUGUUGCUCAGUGCAUCCCACUAAAAUGUAACAAAGCUAAAAAUAUGUUGAUUCUCAUUUGUUAUGCUCCAAAUAGAAUCCCUUUCCAGUGACUUAUUUUGUAGUAAAUACAUUUACUCACAAAGACUGUUUAUUCUGCCAAGAAGUGAUUUGAGUGGCAGGCUUUUCACAGUUCCAUACAGUGACAGUCUGAGGCAGUUUAUUCCGUUUCCUUGUCGUUUCCCUAACUUGUUAAAUUUCCACAUUAUAUUUGAGCUUUCGCAGAAUGUAAAAGCCGCUUCUGGGAAACUAAUGGCCUAUAGGGCAUGUUUAGCAUACGUUUCUGCGUUAUUUGAUUCCAGAAAAAUUCAUUUGCAGCCUGCCUUAACCUGGAAAAUUGUGGGAGUAAAGUGAAUUAAUUUUGGGCUGUGUACUUGUAUACAGUUAUUUCUUGCUGUUUUCGCGAGGCAAUCAGGGAAAACAGAAAUACACAUUUGUGGAAAACGUGUGUCAGGGAACAGCGGGGAAUACCAACAAAACAUUGUCCAGUGAUGUUUGUUGUGUCACACCACACCCACUGGUGUGAAUGAAGUUUAGCAUGCCUAUGUCAUAGAACUGUAGAAUUGUAGAGUUGGAAAUGACCCCAAGGGGCAUCUAGUCCAACUCAUUGAAAUGCAUGAAUCAUAACUAAAGCAUCCAGGACAGAUAGCUGUCUAACCUCUGCUUAAAAACCUCUGAGGAAGGAGAGUCCACCACCUUCCGAGAGAGUCCAUUCCAUUGUCAAACAGCUCUUACCAUCAGAAAGUUCUUCCUGAUGUUUAGUCAGAAUCUCCUUUCUUGUAACUUGAACCCAUUGUUACAGGUCCUAUGCUCCAGAGCAGGAGAAAACAAGCUUGCUCCACCCUCCACAUAACAGCCCUUUAGAUAUUUGAACAUGGCUAUUAUUUUUCCUUUCAUUCUCCUCCUAUCCAUAUCCAUUUCCCUCAACCAUUCCUCAUAAGGCUUAGUUUCCAGACCCUUGACCAUCUUGGCCGCCCUCCUCUGCACACGUUCCAUCUUGUCAAUAUCUUCCUUAUAUAGUCAUACCUCGGGUUGAAGUAGCUUCGGGAUAAGCAUUUUUGGGUUGCGCUCCAUGGUGACCUGGAAGUAAUGCAGCGCGUUACUUCUGGGUUUCGUCACUCGCGCAUGCGCAGACACUCAAAAUGACGUCACGCACAUGCACGGAAGUGGUGAAUCGUGACCCGUGGAUGCGAGUUGCGUUCGCUUCAGGAUGCGAACAGGGCUCCGGAACGGAUCCCGUUCACAUCCAGAGGUACCACUGUAUUGUGGACACUGGGCACAGUAUUCCAGGUGUGAUCUGAUGAGGGCAAAAUUUUUGUUGUUUAGUCAUUCAGUCAUGUCUGACUCUUCGUGACCCCAUGGACCAGAGCACGCCAGGCACUCCUGUCUUCCACUGCCUUCCGCAGUUUGGUCAAACUCAUGCUGGUAGCUUCGAGAACACUAUCCAACCAUCUCGUCCUCUGUCUUCCCCUUCUCCUUGUGCCCUCCAUCUUUCCCAACAUCAAGUUCUUUUCCAGGGAGUAUUCUCUUCUCAUGAGGUGGAAGUAUUGGAGUCUCAGCUUCAGGAUCUGUCCUUCCAGUGAGGGUGGUACUAUUACUUCCCAUGAUUUGGGCACUAUACUUCUGUUGAUGCAGCCUAGAAUAGCAUUAUCUUUCCCCCCCUGCUGCAUCACACUGUUGACUGAUGUUAAGUUUGUGGUCUAUCAAGACCACUAGAUCCCUUUUUCACAUGCUACUGAAAUCAAGCUACACUACAUCCACAGCCUUCCCCUGAUCCACCAAGCUUGUAACUCAAUCAGAAAAAGAAUUGAGAUCAUCUGGUGUCACAUGUUUUUGAGAAACUCAUGCUAGGUCUUAAUAAUAACUGUAUCCCUUUCUAAGUGCUGACAGACCAACUGUUUCAUCAUCUGUUCUAGGACCUAGUAUCAAUGUUAAGCUUACUGGUUGGUAAUUACCUGGGUCUUCUUAAUUUAGGUUGAAUAUGUCUUGUUGUUUAUUUGCCUUUUUUUAUAAAAGAUUUUUUUCCAAGUGCAUUUCUAAAAUUCAUUUGGAAAGGCAUACAUUGAGACACUGGCAACAACUAAGUGAUUAAUAGUUUGUAUCAGGAGAAAUACAUAGUAAAACAGUUGUCUUCUACUUUCCAUGUUCUUUGGGUUGAGGCACCUGGCAGCACAAGCAUGCUCUAAGGCAGGGGUCAGCACACUUUUUCAGCAGGGGGCCGGUCCACUAUCCCUCAGACCUUGUAGGGGGGGCGGACUAUAUUUUGGGGGGGGGGGAUGAAUGGAUUCCUAUGCCCCACAAAUAACCCAGAGAGGCAUUUUAAAUAAGAGCACACAUUCUGCUCAUGUAAAAACACCAGGCAGGCCCCACAAAUAACCCAGAGAAGCAUUUAAAAUAAAGGAUACAUUCUACUCAUGUAAAAAUACACUGAAUCCUGGACUGUCCGCGGGCCGGAUUGAGAAGGCGAUUGGGCUGGAUCCGGCCCAUGGGCCUUAGUUUGCCUACCCAUGCUCUAAGGCUAAAGUCUGGUGAGCCCUUACUCAAAUUAGCAUCCUUUGAUUCUCUCUUUCUCCCAUUAGAGAAUGACGCAUUCUGCCACAAUUUCCUGCCAGGAUUCAACACUUGGAAGGUGACUGGGCCGCGUGAUUUGAAAUUACAGUCCAAGGAAAGCCUCUUUUCACAGUUCCCAUGAGCAAAGUGCCUGCAUGUGAGCAUUUCUGAGCGAUGACCACAAAGAAUUGCUCAGGCAGCUGUGUGCUCACUCUGCUAUGAUGAUAUCCCAUUCGCAAGCAUCUGCACAUCUCUGCAACAUCACACACAGACUUUUCUCUGGGACCUGGAUGCAGCCUUGCUGGGUCAAACACAAUGAGCAAGGACCUUCCCUCCCAAAAUAUAAAAAAAUAAAAGGAAAGGAAAUAAUAAUGAUUUCUCCCGCAAUCAUGAAAGUUUUUCUAGGAUCCCUAGAGCCACUGGGAAAAUCAAUAAAGGGUCUUGUGACACCUUAACAACUUAACAAAUUUAUUAUGGUGUAAGGUUUUGUUUUUGCAACAACAAACUAACAUGGAACUUCCUUCCAGAAAUUCAGGUUGGUGGGGGUCCCACAGCAGAGGUGCUUCCCCCACUUCCAGAAAGUUACAUUCCAAUGUGCAAAAUGUCACCAGAAGAUUAAUUACCUGGAGCGUGUCAGCACUACAAACAUUGAUCAUUGUUGCCAAUUUAACUUUCACAUAUUAGCGUGAAGAAUCCUGGGUCAUAUAAUUUUUUUGAUAGCACGGAGAAGCACCUGUUUGCGACUAAUGGUACACAUCUAUUAAUAUCUACUUGGAAUAAAGUCUCAUUGCGUUCCAUGGGGCUGACGUCCAGGCACAUGUCUAUAGAAUUGCAGGUGGGCAGAGUAAUCCGAUCGGGGCGGGGAGAGGAAAUGUCUGAUGUGGGUUUUCUGGAAAUUUCUAUGCAAAUCACAACUGGACUAUUGCAAUGCAUUCUACAUAGGGCUAUCCUUGAAAAUGGCCUGGAUGCUGUAUCUAGUGGAGAAUGCUUCUGCCAGGCCAUAAUGUGGGACAGUGAGAAGUGAUCGUAAAACAUCAAUCAUUAAGGCCCUGUACUGGAUGCCUGGAUGAUAAAGGGUCCAUUUCAAGGUAUUGGUACUGGUAUAGAAAACUCUAAAGAAGGACCUAUCACACUUUUCUUCUUGGCAUGGAGAUUGGCCUUUCACUCCUUGAAUGGAUGUACACACUGUCUUAAGUCAAGCUGAGGGCAUAGGGAGAAGACUAUGCCAAAGACAGUUGGAGGGAGAACACAGCCCUGUUUCACACCACUCUUUAUAGGAAAGGCAUCUGAGGAUGAGCUGUCAUGUUGGAUGGUGCCACUCAUGUUCUUGAGGAAGGACACAAUCUUCUUGUGGAGCUUAGGUGGGCAUCCUAUCUUGCAGAGCAGUCCUUUUCGGCGGAUGAGGUCCAAGGCCUUCAUCAGGUCUCAGCAUUUCUCCUGCAGCUGGCGCAGUGGGAAAAUCAUGUCGACUGUUGACCUCUGAGCUCCAAAGCCGCAUUUCGACUCGGGAUAGACCCUGCCUGCGAGCGACUGCAAUCUUUUGAGAACUAAAUGGGUGGAGGCUUUCCCCACAGUACUCAGCAGAGAGAUUCCACAAUAGUUGUUACAGUCACCUUUUUUUUUUUUUGCAGGGGGUCACAAUGCUGGUGUCGCACAGGUCUUGUGACACGAAUCCGGUUUCCCAACACUGCAAGAGAAGGCCGCGGAGGUGUCCCAUGAGGGAGGAGUUGGGGCUGGCUUUCAGUACUUCUGUUGGGGUUCCAUCUUUUUCUUAGGUUUUACCAUAUGCCUGGGAGUUGAUGGUGUUCUUCAUUUCAUCCAGGGAGGGAGGAACAUCCAGCUCUUCCGUGGAGGGCAGAAUCUGGACACUGUCAACUGCUGUGUCAGUAACCAUAUUUUAUAACAACAACAACAAAAACAGUAAUAUUUAUACGCCGCCCAUCAGGCUGGGUUUCCCCAGCCACUCUGGGCGGCUCCCAACAGAGGACUAAAAACAGAGUAAAACUUCAAACAUUAAAAACUUACCUAAACAGGGCUGCCUUCAGAUGUCUUCUAAAAGUCAGAUAGUUGUUUAUUUCUUUGACAUCUAAUGGGAGGGUGUUCUACAGGGCAGGUGCCACUAUUGAGAAGGCCCUCUGCCUGGUUCCCUGUAACCUCACUUCUCACAGUGAAGGAACUGCUAGAAGGCCCUCGGAGCUGGACCUCAGUGUCUGGGCUGAACGAUGGGAGUGGAGAUGCUCCUUCAGGUAUAGUGGGCCAUGAGUAAAGUUCCCCAUAGUCCUCCACCCUUCACUUCAUCUACCUGCAGUGGUCUGUGAUGAACUAUCCAGGCAAGGUUUUCAGCGGUGUAUUUUUCCCGACUGUUGGUCCAAAGGCUUUCUUCAUGCCUUCAUACAUUUUGUGAGAGUUGAAUGCUCUGACACAGCUUUAGCCCAAAUGUAAACAUUUAUUUUUCAAAAACAAAAAUUUAAAAGAAGGUUAUAGUUUCUAAUUCAUGGAAAAAUCUGCUUAGAUAGAUCAUUUUAGUGAGUAAUACUCACUGGACAAUAGGCCAAUUUAACAAUUCAUUUCAUAAACAAUUGCUAAAUUAAAAAAACCUGUCUCUGAAUUUUUCAAAAGUUUGGUUAGAAACAGAUAGGUAGUGGGCAUCAUAAAUCACAUGGGAGUAGGAAAAUGUUGCGGGAAAAGUGUCCAAACAAUUACUUUUUACUCAACCCACAGUUUGGCAUUGUCCCUGAGCCAUGAUGGAUUGCGUGUAUUAGAGGCAGUAUUCUUUCCUUCACAAUGUUAUCCCAUUAUGCACGCAAAGCAAUGUUGGCCACGUUAUCAUUAACAGAACAUUUUUCUUUUUUCUUUUUAAAAAGGAGCUGUCUCCCUGGACACAAUGUGUUUUUCAUUCUCAGGAGCAUGUUACGCAGCACAUACUACAAUAUGCCAACGUGCAGAUAAAGAUGCUUCUUCCUGCACCAUGUCUGAAAAUUAAGAGAGAUUGGGGAAACUUGAAAGUGUGCGGGAGGAACCUCCCCCCCCCCCGCUGAUGGAUGCAUUCCUUCGGGAGCAAUGUGUUGGGGGUGGAGUUGGAACUGGCCGUGGAUGGUGCCAGUUUUAGAAGUGCCAUGGGUUUGCAACAUUACAAAUCUCUCUCUCUCUCUCCUCCUCUCUCUCUGCCACCCCAUCACUCCCUCUCUGUGCUACCAUAUCUCACAUAGUUAGGCUGAGGGAUGCAGUCCUCAUGUCAAUGGAAUAACUUCUCUAGAAUUUGCAAAUGUCUUCAGAAGCAUUAUAAGUCCUUUCCUUUUCAGAAUGCAUCUUAUAUUGAUCCUAAAUAGAUGAGGGCUUAAUAUUGCAAAUGGGCCAUUGACAAGCAAUUGACAACAGGCUUCUAACUUUCUAAAUUUAUUUUUUAAAUCUGCAGGAUUUCCCCCUGAAAGGGUAAAAAGGUAAGAGCUCAUGGGCCAUCUUGCUCAGGAUUGUCUACACACUGACCGGCAGCAGCUCUCCAGUAAUAAUAAUAAUAAUAAUAAUAAUAAUAAUAAUAAUAAUAAUAAUUUAUUAUUUAUACCCCGCCCAUCUGGCUGGGCUUCCCCAGCCACUCUGGGCAGCUUCCAAAAAAAAAAAAUUAAAAUACUGUAAUACAUCAAACAUUAAAAGCUUCCCUAAAGAGGGCUGCCUUCAGAUGUCUUCUAAAAGUCUGGUAGUUGUUGUUCUCUUUGACAUCUGGUGGGAGGGCAUUCCACAGGGAGGGCGCCACUACCGAGAAGGCCCUCUGCCUGGUUCCCUGUAACUUGGCUUCUCGCAGUGAGGGAACCGCCAGAAGGCCCUCGGCACUGGACCUCAGUGUCCGGGUAGAACAAUGGGGGUGGAGACACUCCUUCAGGUAUACUGGACCGAGGCAGUUUAGGGCUUUAAAGGUCAGCACCAACACUUUGAAUUGUGCUCAGAAAUGUACUGGGAGCCAAUGUAGGUCUUUCAAGACUGGUCUUAUGUGGUCUCGGCGGCUGCUCCCAGUCACCAGUCUAGCUGCCGCAUUCUGGAUUAGUUGUAGUUUCCGGGUCACCUUCAAAGGUAGCCCCACGUAGAGCGCUCCAGCACUUCAGACAGCAGUCUUUCCCAGCAGUGGCAAAGCAUGGGGGGGGCGCAUGCACAGGGGCAGUUGCAAAAUUGUUAGGGGGUGCAAAAUUUCAGCACCUGAUACUGCUUCAAUGCAGCUGUGUGCUUCCGUCACUGGACUCCAUUGAAAACAGCUUUUCCAUGUGAACCAGGAAGUGAGCUUUCCAUACAAUGGAACAACUCUUCUUUUCUUAUCUCUGCAGCUGCGAUCUCUGGGAUGCUGUGGAUGCCGUAAGGCAGUUCAAUGCACAUGCGUAGUCUGCCCAUUUCUCUCCCACCCCCUCCGCGCAGCCCUGGGAGCCAGCAACGCACGCUACACCACUGUUUUCCAGCUUUGCUUGGAGACAGAGGGAACUGAACCUGGAAUCUUUUGCACGCAAAGAAUGUGCUCUACCACUGAGCUUAAGGCCUUUCCAAAAGAAAUAAGCAUUUUGAAGUUAGAUUGAAGUUGAGGGAUCCUGAUCCAUUCUCAGCCUCUGGGCAGGGUGCAAUCAUUAACUGUCUUAAUCAGCUGUCUUCUUAGCAAUGGCCCAGUUUUGACAAGUCACCUUGUGAAUCUUGCAUCUCAGAUAAACCAAUGUGCUCGAGAAUACAUCUUAGAGAUGUGGGUUUGGAUCCUACGUUAACUCAAUGAAGUUCAUAGAAUGAAAAUACAGUUAUACCUCGGGUUAAAGUCUCUUCAGGUUGAGCAUUUCCAGGUUGCGCUCUGCGGCAACCCGGAAGUAAUGGAACAGGUUACUUCCGGGUUUUGCUGCUGACGCAUGCGCAGACGCUCAAAAUGACAUCAUGCGCAGAAGUGGCGAAUUGCGACCUGCGCAUGCGCAGACAUGGGUUGUGUUCUACUCAGGAUGCGAACAGGGCUCUGGCAUGGAUCCCAUUCACAUCCAGAGGUACCACUGUAUCCUAUCUCCUCCUUCAUCAGUCCUGGCUGAGACUGACGAGAGUUGAAGUCCAAAAACAUCUGGAGGACAAGUGCCCUGAACUAUGCCACAGUCCCAGGUUAUUCAGCAGUGAGGUAGCUACCUUCUGUAUGUGCUGAGUGAUACUUUCAAUUACUGCUUCACAUGUCCUUGACAUUCCAAUUAAGUCUGGGCCCCGGAAAAGCCCUAUGGUUGCAUAUCACCCCAUCGCAUUGUGUCUUGACAGUAAUUCUCAAGUCAUCGCCAAGCACCAUCUGACGGAGGAAGUGACUAGAAAAACAUGCAAAAUAAAUACAGCGCAAGAUUGCAUCAAAUAAGAGAUUCGCAAAUCUUCAUGCAGGGCAGGAAAGGUCUUUUGAGGAUGUUAUUGGCAUGGCAGUGCACUUUAGGCAUAUUCAUCAUUUCAACGAAGCCUGGGAUUUUCUCCCUGUUAAUAUGAAAUAUUCACGGCCGUAACUGUCUUGGUGAGGCACCGGGCUGUUUCUCAUUAGCGGCGGUUGUCAAGGGAAAAAAAAUGAAUAUGCUGCUGAGUGUUCAGUUUCUGGGAAAACGUGGUUGAAACCUGAGGAGCUCUCCCGAUUCUGAGCUUGGAGUCAGAUGUUUGCAGAUGGGAUGUUCCCCAUUAAGUAAUGACUGAGGGCCAUAUGGAACACAUUACAAAUCAAAAUACUGAUUGAUGAAGUGCCUGUGGUCAACUUUCUACAGAAAUGAGAAAUUUGAAUUUAUUAUCACAUCAGCAUGGGGCUGCUCUCACGUACAAUCACAUUCUGUUUGCCUCUACACUCCCCACAAGCCUCCUACCCCUCACCCACCCCACACUCUGAAUCCCACCCCCAAUGCCUCAGAUCCACUACUCUAUGAUAAACAAAACCUAAGUAGAAGCUUAGUUUCUGCUUUGGUCAUUAAUUUAACAGAUCUGGGCCGAGUCAGGGUAUAUGCCAUCAGGUAGCAACAUAGUAAAACUUUAAUUUUUGUCUUGCUUUAGGAUGCUUAGGUUUUCUAGGGUUCUAAAACAUGUGAGGAGCUUGGAUGCUUGCUGCUCCACAAGGUUGCUCUUCAUGAGCUGAGACGCAACCUGAAGAUUUAUGAAAACUUACUCUACACUAUUCUGAAUAUCUGAGAUCCAUUAGACACAUUCAGAUGCAUGCAAUUCAUGUAAUGCUCACCCAGUGGCUGCUUCUCUGCUCCAGAGUGUCCUUGGAAGGGAAAAGAUGGCAGCCAUAUAUUGGAAAAUCUAAGAAUUAUAAAAGUGCAGACGUAGUACAGAAAUAGAGCGAUGCAAGGGAUCCCUUGAUCCAAACUUGGGGGUUUAUUGACACAAUUCAGCUUGUGGUGAGUGGAGACUCCCAAAUCGCCCCGAUGCACCUCAUGAUUCAACCCCCUUCACAGAGCUGAUGCGCAGCCAUAGUAUUCUUUCACCAAUUCAGGCCAAAAGUUAUUCUCAGGGCUGGUUUACCCACUCCACACGCAGUCUGUGGGAAAGUCCCGACUUGUGCUGAUUCUGCAUGCUUAGAGGCAGCCCCUCCAAUCUCUUUAUCGCAUGCACAAUCCCAGGACAGGUAGCAUCUCCCUUGCAGGGCUUCAGGAAAAACCUGUAGCUCAGCUCUUUAAUGCCAUGCCAAUCAAGCACAGCAUGUUUUCUAAUCUGACAAAUCCUUUAGUCUAGAAAGGUCCAUCAGCAGGCUUCCCCCUUCUUUCUUUCUUUCUUUCUUUCUUUCUUUCUUUCUUUCUUUCUUUCUUUCUUUCUUUCCUUCCUUCCUUCCUUCCUUCCUUCCUUCCUUCCUUCCUUCCUUCUUUUUGAGGAAGAGGUUUGGGGAUACUAGGUUUCAGGCUUGGUGUGAAUCUGGAGACACUAGCCCCAUGCACAUUGUCUAUAGCAAAGGUGGAGGAGAGAAUGAGAAGAUUGUAUACCUCAAAACGCAGCAGUAAGAUCCUCCAUUACUGCUGGGGGUGGGGCACAUCCCUAGAAAGAUGGGGCUCCUGCAGCUUUAACAGUUGUGUAGAAGAGGGAAUUUCAGCGGGUGUAGCCAGUGUCGGACCAGUACAUUUUCCGCCUGAGGCUAAGGCCAAUGUGGUGUCCCCAUUCCACGUCCAAAAGCCAACCAAGGUGGCAGUUGACUCUUAGUUCAAUCAGAGCAGUAGCUAGGUGAUCAUGCGCCCUUGGCAGAACUGUCCAGAUUGCGCCCCUUAGCCAUGGACAAAUGAGCUCUUCUUUCCACCUCUUCUCCAACCCCCACCACCCAUUCAAUUCACCCUCUAUUUAAAACCAUUUCUUAUGAGGCAAUAAUCAAUAUUUAUAUUUAUGGACAUAUUUUUACGUGAUUUUGUGCCCCCCAAUCACCUGCAGCCCUGGCGGGGGGCCCACCUCACCACCCUCUAGCUAUGGCCCUGAGUUCAAUAUUGGUGAUGGGUUAGGAUCCUCCACUACAUCUGAGGGCUGUAGUUUAGGGGGUGCAGGAUAGGCUGCAUGGCGUGCAUAGCUGUCUUCCAACACGUUGCUACCCCCCUCUAGCACCAGAAUCUAUUGCUGCCCGAGGCAACUAUCUAACUCUGUCUUAUGGUAGAGCCAGCCUUGGCUGCAGCUUGCAUAAGCAGCUGCUCUAUACCUCCUGAAAUUCCCACUUCUUCAAGAGUAAAAGUGCGGCACCCCCAUCCUCUUCUGCAACCCAUCUCAACUUCCUUAUGAUGGUAUCUUCCAAAUUCCCAUCAUCAGAUGGAUAUAACGGGCAGAUCUACAAGGAGCAAAUUGCAGUCCAUUCCUUUCCAUGCUGACUUCACUGAUUUGGAACGCAACCCACCAUCCGAUCACAUAUACAGUGAUACCUCGGGUUACAGACGCUUCAGGUUACAGACUCCGCUAACCCAGAAAUAGUACCUUGGGUUAAGAACUUUGCUUCAGGAUGUGAACAGAAAUUGUGCGACGGCAGCGGGAGGCCCCAUUAGCUAAAGUGGUAUCUCAGGUUAAGAACAGUUUCAGGUUAAGAACGGACCUCCAGAACGAAUUAAGUUCGAAACCCGAGGUACCACUGUAAAAGGUUUUACUUUGUGUUUUUGACAACCUUCAUGGCUCUCCAAGUGUCCUGAUCAUCAGUCAUGGGAGCUGAGGCUCUAGAGCAGGUAUAGGGAACCGUGACCUUCCAGAUCCUGCUGGAGUUCAUCUCUCCCAUCAUCCCUGACCACUGGCCAUGCUGGCUGCACUGGGUGCGGAGCUUCUGGGGUGCUGUUGCAACUAUGCAACUAUUAUAUCCAACGGAAGGCAGAAGGUGAGGGGCAGUGCCGGGGAGAUGCUGGAUUUUGGCAUUGCACAGGGCACCCCUGAAAUCUGAGACUCCAAGAUCUGCCAAUGUCUAUAUUGCCUGAACCACCCUUGGAUGCCUUUUUGACCCGUCCACAUUCUGCACAGGUAUGCAAAGCAACGGGGAACUGGGCCCACCUGCUGCCCCAGCAUUGGAAUGAAUGAGGAUAUUCUUGUAUACCAGUAGAAGCUAAUGCUAGCCCUUGGCUGAAAGGUUAACAUCACUGAUGGUGUCACUUUCUUAGAAGCAAAACAAAACAGAGAGACUGAUUAAAAUGAAACACUUGCCUGCAUCUCUUGACACAGCAGUGGUGAGUCAUAUGUGAUCAAAACCAGAGUCUUAGCAAAACCAGACUGCUGGUGCGUAACAUCAGAAAGGUGGCAGAGCAGCUUUCAAACUGAUGGCUGGGGGAGAAAAACCAAUGGGAGCUGAUGAGCAUCCGGUUCAAGUUAAAUGAUCUCUACGGGUUGAGGGUCAAAAUGUUUCAUAGAAUCUUUGAGUUGGAAGGGACCCAAGGGUCAUCUAGUCCAACCCCCUGCAAUGCAGGAAUUUCAGCUAAAGCAUCCAUGGCAGAUGGCCAUCCAAACAUCUGCUUAAAAACUCCCAAGGAAGGUUCGAGGAAGGCCCUCAGUCAAGAAAAGUGCAAUUGAAAUCAUCAAGGCUUCAGAUCACAGCUAAUUUGUUCCCGUGACUCCAGUGGGACUUACAAGCACAACUUCCUUGCUCGGGUUUGGGAAUGCAGACUUGCAGCACUUCCAGAUCACCAGGGUUUUUUUCAGGUGGGACUCAGUGGCAUACUGGUCCAUGCAAGUUGUGGGAUUAGAGUUAAUUGGGAGGUCUUGUGCAACCAACUAGAUAUCGCAUAUCCUGCAUUCAAAGAUAACGGAAUGCAACCAAGAAGGAACAGAGCUUUAAUGGGGAAGACUCAUCCUACUCUGGCAUGAUGAAAAAAUUAAGAAACGGUCAUUUCUAUUCUGGACGUUUUCAUUGGCAGUGUAGAACUGGAUUUGGAUUGGGGAGAUCUGGGAGAAUGUUAGCACCACACUAUCCAGCAAGCUCCCAGUGGGGAGCUGAGUUCAGCUCUCCCUUCUUAUUCUAUAUUUAAGGGCAGAUUUAUGCUAGUUUGAUCAUUCCAUCUCCCCAUGAUACCUCUAGGUCAGGCGUGGGCAAUGUUUUUCAAACCAGGGGGAACAUUUCAUUCUGGGCAACUUUUGGGGGGUCAUGUGCUAGUGGCAGACAGGGUGAAGCCCGAAGGGUGCAGAUCAGUUGCUACAAUAUCUACACGGCAGAACGACACAAAGUUAAUAAAUAAUAAUACGGUGUGUUAUUGUUUUCGUUUGUUAUGGUGUUAUGUAUUUUUGUGUUUUUAUAUUGUAAACCGCCCUGUGAUCCUCGGAUGAAGGCAGGUGUAGAAAUUUUAAUAAUGGUGAUGAUGAUGAUGAUAGUGAUAAAUUAGUUUACAGGAGCUUCAUUCUCACCUGUUGCUGAAUGGUGUAGAAUGGGGGACAGGGUGUUGAUUUAAAGCAGAGUCUCGUGCCCAGCGGAAGGAUGAGGAAUACGUGCUGCAUACUCUAUAUUGCUUUAUUUACAGUUCAAAGCUGGUAUAUUACAGAAAGACAUCUUGCCUCUGCCGGAGCAGAAAAUGCAUCCUCUCUCCUCGACAGCUCGGAGAGAAUCACACAGUGAAAAACAGGAAACCAGUGUACGUCACAUCCAGUCUCCCUUUCCCGUGAGAAACUCCAACAGUACAGACUGUGGAAUGUAAACACCUGUCUCGUGACAAGCAGAGCUGCACAGUGAAGGAAAGCAGAAACCAACAUCCUCCCCUUUCUGUGAACAUCACUGGGCAGCGUGUUUGCACAAUAUCAGUACAAACCCAACUUCUGCACAUAGGUACAGUGUUGAUCCCUCGAUACAAUCUUGGACAAUACAUCAGCAGGAAUUUCAUUACCUGGCAUAUAGGACACCGUUACGAGUCCCUUCUGAAUACAUUCCCUAGCAUGCUGCAACUUUAAUUGCAAGUGCUUUGUGCUUUGCUUACAACCUUCAGACUUCAGCAAAGCCAAACAUGCUUUGUUGUCCUGGUAAACCUGGAUUGGACAUUUGACAGGAAUUUUCAUAUCUUUGCACAAUUGUACUAACCAUUCACAAUCCUUAAGUGAAUAAGACAGUGCAUUCAGUUCGGCUUCACAAGUACUUAAGCUAACUGUUGUUUGCUUCUUGCAUGACCAAUCAAACAGACUCUGAUUGUACAUAUAGCAAACUCCAGACGUACUUUUCCUGUCUGUAGCGUCACUUCCAAAACUUGCAUCUGCAAAUAUCUCAAGACCACCAGACUUCUGAUUGUUAAAUCUCAGUCUGUAAUGCAUAGUGCCUUUCAAAUACCGCGCUAUGCGUUUCAGAGCUUUCCAAUCCUUGACACUAGGAUUGUUGACUUGUCUGCUUAGCAAAUUACAGCUAACAGCAAUGUCUGGUCUUGAACAUCUGGCAAUGAAGUUUAGCUUGCCUAGCACACUCCUGUACAGUGUAGUGUCAGAAAAUGCUUCUUCCGGGUCAGCUCCCUGAUAACCUGUUGUCAUCGGUGUGUCUACAGGGUUAGCAUCCAUCAGAUUUAGUUUGCUUAACACAUCAGCAAUUUUCCGUGACUGGUGUACUAGAAUGUUACCAUCUUGAUCUCUCUCUAUUUCCAGAGAUAGGUAGUUGUUUACCUCACCAAGAUCUUUCAUGUCAAAGUGCUCUUUCAGUUGAGCUAGGGCGCUAUUGUACAUUGCGACAUCUUUCCAAAAGAAUAAUAAAUCAUCAACAUAAAACAAACAGUACAGUUUCUUUUGCCCCUCCUCUUUGACAAAUACACAUGGAUCAGCUUUCCCUUGCUGAAAACCUAGAGAAAACAAUACUUCAGUGAGUUUUGUGUGCCAACACCGUGCACUUUGUUUGAGACCAUAAAGGGAUUUCUUCAGAGCACAAACAAAUCCCUGUUUUACCUGUACGCCAUCAGGUGGAAGCAUAUAAAGUGAUUCAUCUAGAGAUCCGUACAGAAAAGCUGUAUUAAUAUCAUGGUGACUAAUGUGUAGAUUUUCCUCUGCAGCUAGCUUGAGCAUAAGCCUAAUGCUUUCAUAUCUCACUGUGGGUGAAUAGGUCUCGUGAUAGUCUUGACCUGGUACCUGUGCAAAACCUCUGGCUACCAAUCUGGCUUUGUGUCUGACUAUCUUGCCAUUUUGAUCUGUCUUCGCUUUGAAGACCCAUUUGCUUCAAGCAGUUUCAUUCCUGGAACUACUGGAACUAGCUCCCAUGUUUUGUUCCUUUCUAAGGAAUCAAGCUCAGCCUUCAUGGCAUUUAACCAUGGCUCAGCUUCCUUUGAAUCCAAACCCUGGAUUUCUUGGAAACUUGAAGGUUCAAAUACCUUCUUGGAGCUUUUAACAGCUGUUACUGCUAUCGUAGCAAACUCAUCAGCAAAUCUCUUUGGAGGUUUGCCUUUUGUGGCUCUCUGUGACCUACGAAUUAGCCUUAAGUCUUCAACACUCUCCUCUUCCUUCUUAGGAGAAAAACGACCUAUUGUGAACAAUGGUUCCUCCAAUUCUUGAUCAGAGCUUUCAGAGGGUCGCAUAGAGGCUUUCGCACUCUUGAAAUCCUCUGAAUCACCCGAUUCAGUUUCAGAUUCAGACUCAGAACCUUCAUCAGUGGGUGUGGGCUGUUGUGGUUGCUUUGACUAUCCUCAGUCUCAUCACCGUCAUCAGGAUAACAUUGGAAAAUUCCCACAUUCUCCCCCACUUUGCAUUGUACUCAACACUUCUCGUGAGCUUAAUUGUCUUAGAGUCAGUCAUCAUUAUUCUGUAAGACCCUUUCUGAUAACCUAGAAAGAUACCAUGCAAUCCACGCUUGUCUAACUUGGAGUUUUGUGGUGAGCGAACCCACAUGUCAGAACCAAAAAUCUUCAUGUGUUUGAUGUAUGGCUUCUUGCCAAACAUCUUCUCAUAGAGGUACAACCAAUCGCUGAAGAUAACCUGCGAUUGUAACUGUAAACAAAACACGAGAGAGAUUCGGCCCAAUAACUCUCUGGAAGAUUGGCAUCAUGCAGCAAGGUUUUUAACCCUUGAAGCAAUGUCUGAUUUGCCCGUUCCGCAAGUCCAUUCUGCCAUGGCGAGCGAGGACUAGACAAAUCGUGUUGAAUUCCUUUCUCAGUCAGAAAAGCUUCAAACUGCUGAGAAGUGAAUUCCCCCGCGAUCACUGAAAAGAGUCUUUAUCUUCUUACCAUGCACAUUUUCCAACCAAGCACAGAAUUCCUUGAACCUAGGAAAAGCCUCCGAUUUCUGCUUGAGAUUGUACACAAAAAUAUAUCUAGAAAAUGCAUCAAUGAGAACCAUGAAGUAUCUAUUUCCACCCAAAGAGGGCGCUAGUGGUCCAACCAAAUCAGCAUGAACAACCUGGUAUGGUUCUGUAGCUUUCCUACUAGACACCUUACCUUUCGCAGCCAUUUUCACCUUGUUUGCUGCGCAUGCUUUGCACUUCAUGUGGUACCUGCAGGGUUUAAUAGUCAUACCUUCAACCAAGGCAGGCAUUUUAGAUACUGCCUCAAAAUGCAAAUGACCAAAUUUUCGAUGAAAAUCGUGAAUACAUUCUGCAUGCAAACUUUUGUUAGAACCUGCAAUGCAACAAGUGUCAUCCUGCACCACAUCAUCAUAAUACAAAACAAACAAAUGAUCAACAUAUUCUGCAUGCAAUACAUAAUCAUUUUUCUUUGUGAUGAUGCACUUCUUGUUCUUGAAGGAAACGUCAAUGUUCCGCUCAUUCAGCUGUCCAACGCUGAGCAGAUUAUGUUUGGCGUCUGGCACGUAAAGCACAUUCUGUAUCGAUAAGUCCAAACUGUGAAGAACAACAGUUCCGUAGCCUUUACUGGGAAUAGUGUGGUCAUCCGCCUGGUGAAUCGCACCUUCCUGCGGUGUAAAAGACACAAACAGUCUCUUAUCGUUGCACAUGUGGUGGGUGGCCGCUGAAUCAACAACGAAGAAAGAUCUAGACGUCUUCUGGACCUCUGCAACCUUUGGAGUGAAGCGUGAAACCAUAGCCUUGUGCUGCGUUGUCCUAGACACCGGACCUUUGCCUUUGCCUCGGCCUUUUCCGCGCGAUGAGCUUUCGCUGCGCUGCUCUGUCUUGGCCCUGGGAUGUCUGCAUUCCCUCUUCAUAUGGCCUAGACGUCCACACGAGUAGCAUUUCACUGCCUUCAAAGCUUUGGCGCCAUCUGGUGGUUCCACUGCACUAUGGGAUGACGUCUGUGAAGACUCCCCCUUGCCCAUGCAGUCAUUUAAAAUCACGGCAGUAACAAAGUCCACUGUCAGCUGAGCAGUUGGUUGCACAGCAAUCUGGGUUGCAACAGACUCCCAACCUGAACCCAAAGAUUGUAGUAUCAUGAAAGAAUACACAGCCUCUGGAAAGUUGAGUCCUCUCUGUUGCAGCUCAUGUCUCAGAUUUUGCAUCUCCAUCAGAUGUAAACGCACAUCUCCACCUUCAGCAAGAGCCAUAUUAUGCAGCUUGUUAAAGUAAAACAUAGUGGAUCCAGCUUCUGUCCUUAAGUGAGCCUCUCUCAAAGCGUCCCAAAUUUCUCUGGCUGAGGUCUUAUCACGCAAUAGACAGAGCUCUUCUGGGGAUACUAUCAAUGUAAGAGUUCCCCUUGCUUUGGAAUCCUUAGCUUUCCAUGCAUCUGUAACUGGAACUGGGGGUGUUUCUGUAAUCACCUCAAACAAACCCUCUUUCCGCAGAAUUGCCUCUGCAUACUGAACCCAGUCGCUGUAAUUUUUCUUGUUGAGCUUAGGAAUCCCACAAGCAUCCUGAAGGGCCAUCAUGACUCUGGCAUUAGCCUUCAGCGUCAUAUGCUGCUUUAAAUCUUGCUGCGUCACUGCUGCAGCUGCUUUAUUACAAAAGCGCACUUAAAAGUUACUUUCGAUUUCCCCAGCAUAGUGACUUGUGCCUGGGAGCCUUUUGCCUAUUCCCGGCAAAACCGGCUUUAAAAGUUCAAAGUCCAGCCAUAAAGCCAUUAACUUGAAGCUGGCAGGCUGCCCGGAGCAGUAGCACAUACCUCAUCAAUCACUUCUACGCGCAGAGCAGAUUCCGUUCCGAUCUGUCCCUCUGCAUUCCGAUCCUUUGCCGGCACUCCGAUUCGACUUCUGGGCCCAUAACCACGUGUUGAUUUAAAGCAGAGUCUCGUGCCCAGCGGAAGGAUGAGGAAUACGUGCUGCAUACUCUAUAUUGCUUUAUUUACAGUUCAAAGCUGGUAUAUUACAGAAAGACAUCUUGCCUCUGCCGGAGCAGAAAAUGCAUCCUCUCUCCUCGACAGCUCGGAGAGAAUCACACAGUGAAAAACAGGAAACCAGUGUACGUCACAUCCAGUCUCCCUUUCCCGUGAGAAACUCCAACAGUACAGACUGUGGAAUGUAAACACCUGUCUCGUGACAAGCAGAGCUGCACAGUGAAGGAAAACAGAAACCAACACAGGGAUGGGACAAAUUAGGAAUGCGGGUGGCACUGUGGGUAAAACCUCAGUGCCUAGGACUUGCCGAUCGUAUGGUCGGCGGUUCGAAUCCCCGCAGCGGGGUGAGUUCCCGUCUUUCGGUCCCAGCUCCUGCCCACCUAGCAGUUCGAAAGCACCCCUAAGUGCAAGUAGAUAAAUAGGUACCGCUUUAUAGCGGGAGGGUAAACGGCGUUUCCGUGUGCUGCGCUGGUGCUGGCUCGCCAGAGCAGCUUCGUCACGCUGGCCACGUGACCUGGAAGUGUCUCCGGACAGCGCUGGCCCCCGGCCUCUUAAGUGAGAUGGGCGCACAACCCUAGAGUCGGACACGGCUGGCCCGUACGGGCAGGGGUACCUUUACCUUUACCUAAUUGUUGUCAGUCGGAAAUGAAAGUCCCAGAAAGAACAUGACACUUGGGUAAUUCUUGGCCUACUCAUUUCCAUUGUCAUCAUCAAUGCCACUACCAAGGAGUUUAGGUGGCCUAAGAAAGGGAGAGGACCCUCAGGCCCAGAGGCCAAAUGUGGCCCUCCACUUCUUUCUAUCUGGCCCUCAGGACUCUCCUCAGGCCACACAGAUUCCUAAGCUAUACUCCUUGGCCGCCCUGCUUUGCACACACUAUUGGAGUGUUUCUGCCUAGCUGGAGAUUAUCCUGGAAUUCUGCUAGUGCCUCCUGCUUGCCUGGGUUCAGGACGGAGAAAGGGGUGUAAGUGUUCGUAGAAACCAGACUCUUCUAGAAAUGCUAAACUUACAUUUGUUGCUCUGACCACUUCUGGCCCUGCCUGUGACUGGCCCUUGGAAGGUUGCAGAAUGCGGCCUUCGGUCUGAAAAAAAGCUCCCCACCACUAGCCUGAGAAAUUGCAGUGAAGGUUUCAAUCUGCAUGGACCUUGUUCAGAGGACUAAGAUGACUUAAUGAAUACGGAGGCUGUUGCAUGUAGUUACCAUAUGAAUAAAUACCGUAUGAAUAAGUGGGGCUUCUCUGAGGUGCAGAGAAAGAAAGAAGAGAGGAUAUCUGAGGUCAGGCUUGUCUGAAUAAAGAAACUUUGAACAACAGAGACGUUGGUUUAAGAUUUGAGGAAAGUUUUUAAAAAGAGAGAGAAUGAGAGUAAAUGAAGCAUAGUGGAAUAUUAGCGCAGCUUAGCAAAGGAGCCCAGAACAGCCUGCCAAUUGCUUCCAAAACACAUGCAAGUUUAACUUUGUUGCUGAGGGGGAAUUAGGGCCGACACCGCUGGAGUCUGACUGGAAAAAGAAAGAAAAGAAAGAGGUCCUCUUGAAGAACAUGAAAGCUUUCCCCCUCUCCUGCCUUUUAUUGACUUCGGAUGUCAAAUGUGGCCCUCGCCAGCAAGUUUCCACUGAGGUACAAAGGUAUGCAGGACUUCAAUGGGGAUUUGGUUCUCCCAAUUAGAGUCGGAGGGUCACUUGCUGGCAGGGUGUGGGCCUGCUGGAAAAGAAAGCAGCCCCAAGCAGGCUGCAUGAAAGCAAACAUUUAUUAUUAUUUUUUUAAGGAGGGGGGAAUGAACUUUUUUUUUAAGGAAGUGGGAAUGAACAAAUGUCACCAAUGAUUUUACUGAUAAUUACACCUAGCAGCGAAGUCAAGAAAGCAGAUUUGAACUGAUAGGACCAACAACAACUUUCUUUCCUCUAUAUAUAUAUAUAAAAAGAAAACUUUUCAGCUUUAUACCAAUGACCUCUUGGAAAAUAUAUGAGAGUGGCCAGUGGAUGUCUAGAAGUUACCAUAAAGAAGUUGCUUUUUUGCUAAGUGUGUGGAAAAAAGGAAGCUAUUGUAUUUGGGUGGGUACUCUUUCAGCAUCAGCAAUAUUCACUUCCAUGCUCAAGAGUCGAAAGUUCCCAGUUGCCUUGAGGACAUUAAAUCUGAUGAAGUUGUAAGAAUGCCUUAUACAGUGUUGGUGUAUUAUUUGUCCGUCUGGUCCGUGGUGACUGGUGCUCAUUGGAACUGAUAGGGCAGAAGGUAGGCAGACAGACCAUGGCUACAGAGCCAAUGAUAGGCAGAGCCAACCAAGGCUGAAUCUACACAUAUAUUAAAAACACUGUGAAAAUGCUUUUUUAAAAAAGAAGUUUUAAAAUAUAUAUGGAACUUGCCAUUAGCUCACCAGCGCCAUCGACUGUCACAUUUGUAUUGUGGUUGUUUAGUUGUUUAGUCGUGUCCGACUCUUCGUGACCACAUGGACCAGAGCAUGCCAGGCACUUCUGUCUUCCACUGCCUCCCACAGUUUAGUCAAACUCAUGCUGGUAGCUUCGAGAACACUGUCCAACCAUCUUGUCCUCUGUCGUCCCCUUCUCCUUGUGCCCUCCAUCCACACCAGUGUGGUGUAGUGGUUAAGAGCGGUAGUCUCGUAAUCUGGGGAACCGGGUUCGCGUCUCCGCUCCUCCACAUGCAGCUGCUGGGUGACCUUGGGCCAGUCACACUUCUUUGAAGUCUCUCAGCCCCACUCACCUCACAGAGUGUUUGUUGUGGGGGAGGAAGGGAAAGGAGAAUGUUAGCCGCUUUGAGACUCCUGAAGGGGAGUGAAAGGCGGGAUAUCAAAUCCAAACUCUUCUUCUUCUUCUUUCCCAACAUCAGGGUCUUUUCCAGGGAGUCUUCUCUUCUCAUGAGGUGGCCAAAGUAUUGGAGUCUCAGCUUCAGGAUUUGUCUUUCCAGUGAGCACUCAGAGCUGAUUUCCUUCAGAAUGGAGAGGUUUGAUCUUCUUGCAGUCCAUGGGACUCUCAAGAGUCUCCUCCACCAUAGUUCAAAAGCAUCAAUUCUUCGGCGAUCAGCCUUCUUUGUGGUCUAGCUCUCACUUCCAUACAUCACUACUGGGAAAACCAUAGCUUUAACUAUACGGAACUUUGUUGGCAUGUCACAUUUGUAUAAUACACUACACUUAAAACGUUAUUUUUGCAGCUGUAUAGCUGAGUCCCAAUUCUAGUUUCCUCCCCAUCCUCCUCUCUGCUGUGCUCUACAAGGACCAAGGAAGAGGGGGAAGCUGACUUGAACUGGAUAUAAGAUGGUGGGAAUGGUGGUGGGAGGAGGCUAACUAUGAGCAGACUGAGCUUGCAUACCCUCCAACAUGUUUGGAUGCCCCAAAAUGUGUGUUUUUGCUUGGCCUUCUAUAGCUGAUGACCUACUCCCUGAUUUGAAAAAAACAAAGUUUGGCUGUGCUUUAAAAUUUGGGCAAAUAAAAAAGAAGCUGUCAUUCCAAACCUUGCAGUUUGCUUUUCAUGUUAAUCAGAACCACAUCAGAAAUGUAUGUUCUCUGAAUUAAAGAAAAUGGAGGGGGAAUGACUGGGUCAGUUGUUGAUGUAAUUUGCUAAGAGCGUGGAAAACAAACAAACCCCGAAACAAAUAGUUCUAAAUUUAAAUAAAUUUAAGAAGGCUUGUGACUGAUCCACUAUUAAAAAUCCAUUUUAAUAGUUGUAGCUUAUUUUCUUUAAUGAAACUACUUAGGGAAGUAUUGAAAUGCAAUAAUUAGCCUAAAAGGCCUCAUUGUUUAUGUCUUUUGAUCACUGUAGCUUUUUGGCAGAAGAGUGCAGCAUUUCAGUAUCCUUGAGAGGGAUGAGUAGGUUUUUGACUGCCAUCCAGGGCUUUGUCAGUAACAGUAUAUGCCUAUGAUCCUCAAGAUGUAGAUAGAUAUCAUCUUAUUUCCUCUCAUCAAAUGCUUUCAUAAUAAAUGCACUUUUUGUUAUGUUAUGUUAUACAUUGUCCAGUGAGUUCCUGGAGAAGCAAAUGACUGAGAGGAGGAAAGAAAGAACACUUUCUUUCCUUUUCCCUUUUCCUGGCGAGUGCUGUUCGCCGUAGACUUUUCGUAUUUGUAAAAGAAAUGAUGCAGAGAGGAGGGAGGGAAGGAGGGAAUUCAUGACUGAAAUGGUGAGCAUCUAAACCACAAACUAUGGCAGGAGGAGCCUAGGGGCCAAGAAGCCGCUUCGUCUGGUUCUUGGAGGAUUCUGCCAUAUGUGUGUGUUUGUGUGGUUAAAAUAAAGGGCUGCUCAGUUUUACUUGAGAGGAAAAUAGCAUUGAGGACUUUUCCACAUGCUAAUAUUCUUUCCUUCUUUGGUUCUUCAAUGCAAAAUGUGCUGGCUCAUAACUAUUUUGAGAACCUAUGAGAUGCCAUGGGCAUUUCAUAUACAUUGCUAUCUCACAGCUCAGUGGCUUCAUAAAACAUACAAAAGUGUCUUCCAUAACUGCAAGGCCCUCAGAAUGAAGCAACAAUUUAUUAUCGUGUUCAUAAGUAGAGUCUUGCCGUACCAUUUUUGUGGGUGAUAUUUAAAAUGCAGUCAAACUAGCAAUUCAAGUUUUGCUAGAUAGGCACAUGCUAGGAGCGGAAGCUCACAGAGUCUUCCUGUAAGUUUGCUAGAGAGGUCUCUGUGAGAGACACUCCCACUGUGCUCUGACAGUGGGAGGAUGCAGCAGCCUGGGUACACACUUUUCUAUCACUUUCUCUUUCCACUCUGCCAGCAAUGUGAGAACACUUGCUAGUCUGAGCGCCAAGCCAAGACUCCAUUUAAGCUAGACUUAAGUACAGUGGUACCUCGGUUUAAGAACAGUCCUGUUUAUGAACUAUUUAGUAUAUGAACUCCGCAAAACUGGAAGUAGUGUUCGGGUUAGCAAACUUUACCCCGUUCUACAAAUGGAAGCUGAAUGGUGGAAGGGCACCGGUGGCAGGAGGCCUCAUUAGGGAGAGCGCACCUCGGUUUAAGAACAGCUUUGGUUUAAGAAUGGACUUCCAGAAUGGAUUAAGUUCGUAAACCGAGGUACCACUGUACAGUCCGUCUUUGUAACCAAAUGACCAUUUUAAGUCUGCUUGAACAAAGCUGCUGCAUCUGUUGCAAGUACUCUGAGUGAGUAAAUGUUUUUUUUUACCUUUUACAAGACUGUGUGAUUGUGGGGAGAAAAGGGGGAAAUAACAGGAAAAUCCAGUUUGCCUUAAAGCAUCCUGGAUUAUUGAAACUAAAAGGCUAAAACUAGCCUAAGCUUCCCUUUUAAACUGCAAAGGGAACCACAAAGGGAUCUCACAAAUGUGAGGAAGGAAGGAUAAUAUAUAAUAAAUAUAUAUAAUCUCCUAGCAUCUAUUCACAUCCCAACAUUUUGAAGAAGUCAGAUUGUGCAACAAAAUACAAUUCCAAUCCCCAGACUGUUUUCUGGAGAACUGCAUAUCCCAUGACAAUACAGGAGUUCACCAUCCUUGGUUUAUGGAUGAAGUUUUGAGUUUGGAGCUGAAUAGACAGUUUCCAACACAAGCUCCAUCAUGGAGCAACCACUGCUGCCUUGAAAAGAGGUCAUAAAAAUGAUAGCCUAGCUAAUUCUUAAAAUGUGAAUGACUCCACUACUGGAAUGAAUGAGGAAGCCAUUCCAGACAUCAGAGCUCCAUGUUCAGACUGGAAUUAUGGAAGUCCAUAAUUAUCCCAUUCUGCUAGAGCUUUGCUGAGGAACUGGUAGCAAUGAGAUGGUAGCUUCUUGAAGUCAAGGUGAGGUGAGGCAAAUCAAAAUAACCAACCCCCCUAAUUAUUCCUCAACUUCACCAUGAAGUCCCAGGACACACUACAUCUAAGAAAGAAAAUGCAAUACUAUACAACAAAACAAAACAAAACGAAACAAAAAUCCCACCCUAAAAUACAAAUCAGGUCUCUGGCCAGUUCCCAGUAGACUCUGCCAGUUGCUCUUUGAAAGAUGUUGUCUCAGCAAAGGACCAGAGUAAUCUGAAGGUUGAAGAAGGUUGGCAAGGUCUUUACUUCCAGUGCCUCCACCCCCUGGUGUCAUGCCUGCAAUCCCUAAAGGACCUGUAACGUAUUCUGCAAUUGCCUGCUCCUGCAUGGCUGUGGAGCAGAAGGCAUAACCCCCAGAGUCUGAGGAAGGUGGGAGUGUUGUUUCAUCAUGCUGGGAUGAUGUACAAGGGGGUGUUCCCCUCCUAAGGGGGAUUGAUCUGUGAAUAAUCUGAAUAGGAGUCCUCUUUUUGGCAACACUCAGACCUGGGUGUAAGGGCCAGGACAACAACAGGAUCUCUAUAUCAGGACAACACUGUUUUGUGUUCUGCAUGCUUUUGUUGUCACAGAACACACCAUUAACUCAUGGGAUUCAUAAGAUGGCAUCCACAGGAAGGGCCACUGUGGUUUUAAGAAAGGAAAAUAACGGAGGGUAGGUCUACCAGCUGCUUGGUAACAAUGAAGGAAAAGGACUAUUGGCUCCUUAUGGGCUUCCCACAGGUAUCUGCUUGGCUACUUAAGAAAAACAGGACGAAUGCCCAGAUGGAACUUUGGUCUGAUCCAGCAGGUCUCUUCUUAUGUUGACUGUCUUCUGGAUGAAUCCACCUAGCCAGAAAGUUGUCUUCACAGUGCAUUUGUGAGAGAAAAUGUAGGAGUUGACCAUAGAUCCAUGAAGGAGUGGGAUCUAGUCAUGACCGUGGGUGGUCCUUCCUAUGUGGCCUAUGGCGCAGCCAAGACUUAAAUAGCAUCCAGCAAUCAUGGACUAUCUCUGCCAAUAGUAGCUGCGAUUCAUGAACAGCCUGAGAGUACUGAACUCUUGUCUUUGUGCUGCAAUUAUUCUGAUAAAUCAUAUAGAAGCACUGGUUGCCAGCUGGAGGAGGACAAGCUAAACUCUUGGCAGAACGUGUGGAUUCCAUGAACGCUGCUUUGGAUUCUCCGAUCAAAACACAACAGUAAAAAAAUCGAUCAUGAGAAUAAUGAAUAAGAGCACGGUUUAUAGCGCUGAAGUGGGGGAAGGGCAGGACUUUCCUUAUGCAAAAUAUGUAGAUCCGUUUUUAGAAGGGCAGAGUUGGAAGGCCUUGUCUAGUACGCUUGCAUUGGUACAUCCAGCCUCUUCAAGCUGUAUAAUAUUAAUAUUUGCAAUAUGGCUUCGGGAGGGAUGAGGCCUGGGGGAGAGAGGACCACAUUCAUCCGCCAGGCAGGCUUCAGUUUCACAACCUCUGGCUUAUAUGGCCAAACAAAUGUUGAGAAGGAAAAUUCUGAAGUAAUUGCUUGUUUAUCAUGUACUGGAAUGACAAAUUACAAGGAACAGCACAACUAUAUGCUCAAUUAGGAAUGCAGUACAAUAUUAAGAAGUCUUAAGUGCCUAACAGUUUUCUUGCAAAUUGUUAUUGAUUUCCCUCCUCCUUGUAAUGACAGCUGAAGAAAACAAUGCAAACAAAACUUGUGGAGUAUAAUUAUGUUCAUGUUUAAUAAAAUAGCAAGGAAUAUAGGAAGUUGCCAUUCACCAAGCAACCAAUGUUCCACCUAGCUCUUAAUGCAAACGUUCUUUCCAAGAAAUUUCCUCUGUUGUAAGGCUUUUAAAAAAAUGUUACUUUCCCCAUGUUUUCCUUGUGCACACUUCCCCCUCAUAUUGGUUUUUUGAAGCACAUUUCUUGGGUUGAAAUUACAAAAUUUGGAAAAGUUUCAAAGGAUACCAGUGUUUCACUUCAUGCAUUGUUUCAGGAAGUGCAGAUUAGUUAGGUUUGUGUUAAAAUGUGAACUGAAGCAGAUUUCUUCAUUGUUCCUAUUGGUGCAGACAUAAUUCUCCUUUCUCCUGUCUUGGGGAGCGAAUUGUUUCCACAGAAAUCAAGCUCACGGCUAAUGAAACUUGAUAUAGGUCCUUUCCCCCUUGGGAUCUCCCUGAUCUGUGUUUUACUCUCUAUCCAAACUGUUCUUUGUAUUUCCUUUACUUAUUCCAAACAGGCAGAUACAUUCCUUGGCAACGCUCUUUUGUUUACAACAGGCGAGAUCUCCCUAACAAGGUAGUCAUGGGAUGGGAGGAGGAGAAACUAAACAGUCUCUGACUGCUCCCACCCAUCAUUCUUUAGAAGAACCAUAUCACCAGAGAACAAAUCUGGAUCCCAUAUAAAAACUGAAGCAUUUGAGGAAAUAGUAGAGGAUCUGCAAAAUCUUUAUCAGUGUUAUUGAAGAGCUGGGUGACUCUCAGCAGGAAAAAGGAAGGAAGGCAGCCGUAACAGGGUCACAAAUCAUUGAUUAGGUGUCCCCUAAUUUUGGACCACCACGGUUGUGUCUUGCACAUGCAGAGGGUAGGAAAAGUUGGAAGAUUCCCAGAGUCUUUCAAUGCCUCUCUUCCAGGACUGGUUCACACAUGCAUGUGCAACAAUUGAUUAUCGCUGUAUGCUGUGGAGAUGGCCUUUCCAUUCUCCCUAAACAGAUUCAUGAGGCAUCUAUAGCACCAUUGAUUUGGUUCAGGGCCCAAUUUGGUGAUCCCGAUUAGUCUCCAAACUGAACCGGACAGAUCCACCUGCAAUUUGAAUUGGGGUGCUUGCACAGUCCCAAUCCCUAAUUAAAUAUGUGGUUGGCGGCAAGGGGGGGGGAAGAGAGGAGACAUUCAAGCAUCGUCUCCCUCUCCAAGCUCUCCUUGCUGCCCCCCAUUUUUCACAGGCCUGGUGGACCUGAUCCAGGGCAAAUUGUGGCUGCCUUGAGUUGCUCUGGACAAAUCCCAUAUCAGCCGAAUUCAUUUUGGAAUCUGGGAUGCACAACUUGGUGCACAACGCUAGCAUCUACAUUGUUAUUGUUUAGAUGCCAGUUGAAGACCCUGUGACUACUCAAGGCUUCUCAUCAGCGUGUUUCUGCUAUGCAACUUACCCCUUCCCUCUCACCCACUGCUUCUGCCCUCUAAACGUCCCUUCAGAACUCAUGAAGAUUGGCAGGCACAUAUUUGCGAAACAUGGAGAAGGCAUAAUCCUACCCUGAGAGAGUUGAUUUGCAUGACAUACUCCGGUGCGAGUGCUAGACUGGAAUGACAUUAACAAAGCCUGGCAUCCCAGUGAGUUGUCUUUUGAAGGGCCAGUUCCCAGUUGGUGUUUAUUGUGUCCAAUGCCAAAAGAAACAGAAAAUGUAUUUCACAAUUUUGUCCCGUGCUGAAUAAUGACCUGGCUCCCAGUUGCAUUCCUUUGCUCAGAACCUAUCCUUCCUUUCUUUACAUAGAGACGUUUGGUCAAGUCUUCUCAGCUUGGGUUCUUAAUAUCCGGCCACCGAUGAAUACGUAUUCCUUUAAGUGAGGUUAAAAUGAUAGAAAGCAAUCCUCUCUCCCUCCCUUAUCCCAAGGGGGUGGCUUUGGCAAGAAGAAAAGGGAGGGGGUGACAAGGAGGAAAGGGAGGGGUUGGGGGGUUGGUGAGAGCAGGGGCACAGCUCCUAGUUCAAUCUCAAAAGAACAGAAGUAUUUAGGAACUCAAGCUGUUAAGGGCUGCAUAGACCUAAACCUGGACAUUGAAUUGUGCCCGGAAGACAACUGAAUAGCAUUCCCCAGCAGGUGCAAUAGAGAUCGGAGAAACUGUGGGUGUCAGUUUCUACUUUUCCCAUUUUAGAUUCAGUUCACAUGACCACAACUUGUGAAAAUUCAUCAGCACUUUACUGCAAAUUUCUCCUACCAUACACAUUUUCUUCCUGUGCAAUUCUGCCUAAUAUUCACAUUUUUGCAAAGCAUAUUUUUUCUCUUUAGAGUCACACUUUACGUAAUAUCAUGCAUUUUGGAUGUUAUUCCCACUGAUAUAUGCUAAUUUGGAUGCUCACUUUACCUUAGUAUAUGCAUUUUUCUUAUGCAUGAUUUGCCUGGAGGACUGCAAGGCAAAACACCCAGAGAUGCGUGGAUAUCAGAGAAUGGGUUCAUUUCAUUUCACAUAUUGUUUCAGAAGGUGCAGAUCAAGUACAUUCAUCUUUAAAUAUAAACUGAAUUGAAUCCCUCCCCCAUACUCCAAGAAAUACAUCCACUGCAAGAGACAUCCACAUACAGAAACUGGUCGUCAUGAGCAGAGUCCUUUCCACUUAGGAAUCAAUAUCAGGUUAUCAAAAUAAUGGGGAGGUCUAAGUGAGUAUCAUGGAAUUCAUUUUUAUUCUCAUUUCUCCUUGUUUAUCCCCCCCCCCCAUAAAUCUUUCUUUUAUGGUCUUGUCACAAAUGAAAAAGGGUGGGUUGGGGUUUGAUAGUUUAUUGGAACCCCUGCCAUUUGUUUCCACAAAUGUUUACAUGCAAAAAAAGCAGGCGUUCUGCGGGAGAUUUAGACUCCCUAGCAAAACCCUUUUCACCCCUGUAAAAACUUUAGAUUUGGUCUGAAUCUGGCUUCGGUCCCAGAACUUGUCAUAACUUAACUUUAUUAUAAAUCUGGAGUUCUGCUAGAAUGCAGUUCACUCUACAACAACCGGUCUAUGUCCUUAAAAUAAGAUCAAGAGCACAUUUCUUUGGUUCAUAUUUUGGACACUGUUGGGAUUUUGAGAGAAUUUUUAUUAGAAAACAGAAUUAUCUUGGUUUGGGGAGAGAUAGCCAUCAGUGACCGCAAGAAAACAAAUGGUGCGCAUCUGAAAUAUGUAAAAUGAUAUGUCCUACUAUUUAGAAGAGACCAAGGAUGACUAAUCAUGUAAACAAUGGUUUUCAUACCACCGCACAAGAAUUCUUUGGGUUAAGGAGAAAGUGCAAGCAUACUUUGGCACAGAAGAAGCUGGGGAUCAAUCGUAAAGGGGUCAUAUAUCUGAAAGGGGAACAAGGAGGAUCUUCAGCAGCUCCUUUUAAAAAAAAGAAUCAGUUUAACACAUCUUCUGCAUGUUGGAAUGUAAGAGAAAAACAUAAGAACUUGCUGGAUAGGGCUAAUAGCCCAUCUAAUCCAGCAUCUUGUUAGGGAUGGGAGGGACAGACUUGACACUGGGAUGCUAUAUUUGGCAGGAACACUGUGGUUAUUGUAACAUCAGAGCUCAUCUUGAAUUGCUGUCCUGAUCCUAGAUGUAGCUGUUCAAUGAGAAUUGGCAUCAAAACAGGCUUGGGAAACCCUGUGGUUGUCCAAAGGUUACUAGACUACAGCUCCCAUCAUCAAUGUGCAUUUGCUAUGCUGGCUAGAGCUGAUAGGAGUUGGAGUCCAAUAGGUCCCCUCCCCCUGCACCAAAGGGAACGUUACUCAAGAGCUAGCAAUGGUAAGUGUUCUUCUAGUAGUUUCUCUUUUGAUUUAGCUGGGGAGGAACCUUACUGCACAACUUGGAAAGCUAUUCCAGUAAGAACAACUUGGACUUCAGUUGGGGAAACUCUCUCUCUCUCUCUCUCUCUCUCUCUCUCUUUCUUUGUGUGUGUGUGUGCGUGUGAGAGAGAGAGAUGGACUGGCUGGAUGCAAUGGUAGGAGGCACCAGCUGGGGAACCCCCAAGGGAGGAAGGUUCAGAGCCAGGGGUUUGGUGGUGGGAUGACAAUGCAUGGUCAGAAGCAGAGAGCAGACUGGGGGGAGAAGGACUGUGGGGACUGAAGAAGCAACAGGGUUUAGUGAGCGGGAAGAGGCUGUGUCAGAGGACAGUCCAGGCUCAGAGGCAGAAGAGGAGGGGGCCCAGGAGACAGAGAUGAGGCAGGCUGCUGAAGUAUCCAGGGAGUCUCCCCUCCCUCCUGAUCUCCUAGACAUGCAGAAUAACUGGUAGACCUUUUCAUUGGGGCAAUAUCUACUGGGAGGUGUUGUUGUGAUCACUAGGCCUGCAUUCUUUUGGUUUCUUUGAAUAAAGUGUUAACUUCAUUGUCAUUGGUGCUUUUAUCGCUGACUCCGGCUCCUGACAAGAUCUCCCUCCACACAUAGCACAGCAAAUGGACUUCAGAAGGGCUCACUGAUUGGUGGUUACAGCAAGACCUUUCAGAAACACACUCCCAGCACCAAUCAGCUGACUGGUCCUGACAGCAGCCCGUUUGAACUUUAACAGGUGGGUGGGGCUGCCUGGCUGCCAAUCAGCUUUUUGCUAUUAUGACAUGUGAUCGACAUGUGUGGCCCUCUCUACCUGUCAACCUGGCCAUGGAAUGGACAGGGAUUAAGACUCCUCCAAGUGCAUGCAUAUUGAGAAAAGUAUUGUUUUAUACCUCAAUAAACUCAUAGCAGCCCAUUUGACUAAUAUCCGAAAGAAAAAUACCCAUCUGUUUGUGAAAAUAACUUCAUGCAUCUCUUAUAAAAUGCUUCGACAGUUCUUUAGAAGUGGAAAUCCAACGAGGGUGACUGGAUUUCAGUCCAGAUCUUCUGCUGGGAUUUUUGAUCAUAUUUCACUUCAAAUCACCCUUCCCUUCAGCUUCUGUUCCACAAACCAGAUUUCUUUUUGUAGCCUUAUGAACUUACAUCUGACGUGUGUCUUUCUGCUGACGCCCUCAAUAUUAAGCAGGGAGCUGGGAUAUUAAACGCACCCCACGAUGAUAUAAGCCAUGCUUUUUGGAUUGGUUAAUUAAUGCGCCACACACAUCCCCUGAAGGAAAAUUUACAGGGUCAUGUUUUUGCUGCCUCAGCAACCCGGGAUGUUUCAGCUACUAACCAGUUUCAGAUGCUCUGUGCCUUUCAAGAAAGAAUAGCCAUCUUGCUCUCAGGGCAAGGGGGGGGGGGGGAGAAAGUAAUGUCUCUGCGAAGGGUUUGUGUUUUUUACCAGCUGCUUUGUGUUGGGUUAAUGGAUGGCUGGAGUGAAGGAUUAUAUCCUCCGAAUUCUUCUAAAGUGGCAAAAUAUUUAUUCUGAAGCUGAGAUAGCUGACUUGAAUGUGACUUUGGGGCUCCAUCAUUUUUAUUGAACUGUUGAUUGACUCGACUUGAUUUAACCUCAAAAUAGCUGUUCUGGCUUAGAACCACCGAGUUAGAGGUUUGUAUGUAUGUACACAACCUGCCGGGCCUCCCAGGAGUUGACAUAAGUCAUAUUUUAAAUAUUUGUAAAUGGGAUGACUUAGCUGGAGGGAUGAAAUCCGAGUCUCCAGCCAAACAGAAGGUCUGCUUAAUGCAACAAAGAGCAAAUGCCACAAAACAGGGAAGAGUUUGUAAAAAGGGAGGCAUAUAUAUGUGAAUGAAACUGCUUAAUGUUUAAGUAGUGUGGGGUUUUUUUUAAAAUAAAGCCACAUUCCUUUCCUAAGGCAAGAAAGCACUAAACCUUUACAUUUUCUGAGGAUGGAAAAAAAGAAAAGAAUAACUAAGAUAGAAAGAUAAAGCAGUAGAAACUAAGUUAGAUCUUAUUUACCCAAGAGAUGGAAAUGAAAUUCCUUCAGACAACUUACUUACACUCCAGAAUGAACAAUGGCAUCUUUCGUAAUAUGCUUGCCUUGCAUGGCUGCUUCUCAUUUUUGAAUGAAUCAUGUGAAAUUCUAAUGGUGGUAGAGGUCUUCUAUUAGACUCGACAUAGAAUGCCCCCCUUUAACAGCAUAUUAUCAAAUAGAAUUUCAAAUUUAGCAGAGGACACUGAUUUAUUCAACGUAUGAGUUUCUUGGCUCCAAGUCACUUGCAACAUUUGCAAACCUAAAUCAUAGCGUGAAACUAGAGAGAGAAAAGAAAUAAAGCCAUACAGUAAUCUAUGAAACAAAUAACAGCAAUAAUUUCAGCAGCAAAACACACUGCUGUCUUCCGUCUGCCUUGAGAGACAAUGGAGUGCACCUCUGGGGGUGAAGGCAAACCACUAUGUUAGCAGCACUGAAGUGACCUUCCCAGGGCACAAGCCUGGGCAGUGUGUAUGGAGAUCCUAGGCUGCGUAGACAACAAUACCCCCCUCUCAGCCUCACUGAUGUGGUCCAAUGGAAAGCAGUCAAAGUAAAAGGUAAAGGAUCCCUGGAUGGUUAAGUCCAGUCAAAGGCGACUAUGGGGUUGUAGCACUCAUCUCACUUUCAGGCCGAGGGAGCCGGUGUUUGUCCGCAGACAGCUUUCCUGUUCAUGCAGCCAGCAUGACUAAACCACUUCUGGCAUAACGGAACACUGUGAGAGAAGCCAGAGCACAUGGAAAUGCCAUUUACCUUCCCAUCGCAGUGGUGCCUAUUUAUCUACUCGCACUGGUGUGCUUUCCAACUUCUAGGUUGGCAGGAGCUGGGACAGAGCAACGGGAGCUCACCCCAUUGUGGAGAUUCGAACUGCCAACCUUCCGAUCGGUAAACCCAAGAGACUCAGUGGAUUAGACCACAGUGCCACCUGUGUAGUAGACACCAAAAUCACCAUAACUUGUCAAAUGUGUGGGAGAAGAGAAAAGCUUUUCCCUGGUGUUACAAGGAUGUUAAUGAUGGAGACAGAUGGGCCUCCCUGCGAAGAGAAUCCCAUAAGCGAGGAGGCAGAACUGAAAAGGUUGAGAAAGUUUGUAAGUCUCGAAACCUCCCUCACGGGGGCACCCAGAAAAGGACUUCAAAUGAAGACUGAAUGGUUUGAGUAGGUUCAUAUUGAUGUUUCGACAGACCUAGGCCACAUCCUCACUAGGCCACUACAGACCUAGGCCACCACACAGUUGUGACUUCCACCAAAGUAUUCUGGCAGCUGUGGCCCAUUAAGGGUGUCAAGAGUUAGGAGAGCCCAAUCCCCCUCAUAGAACUACAAUUCCCAGAGUAGUUUAACAAUGAAUCCCUCUUGCCUAGGGAACCCUGGGAAUUGUAGUUGAAUGAGGGGAAUAGGGCUCUCAUGACAACUCUCAGCACCUGUAAGAAACUGCAGUUCCCUGGAUUACUUGAAGGAAGCCAUGGCUGUGGUAUCAUAAUGCUUUAAAUAUAUAGCGCAGAUGUGGCCCUAAUGAAAGCGAGCUGUAUACUAGCAUGCUUGAGAAAACAUAAAUGAAGGCUGAGACACACGGCAAGCUAAUCUUUAUCCUGAUCUUUGCUUUGCCAGGCAAAUGUGUCUUGAAUUUAGCAUGCUGUGAAAUGUCUAGAGAGCACAGUUGGAUAGGCAGUAUAAAAACAUGACUAAUAAAUAACAAGAAAUAAAUUUACUUUGGAACUUGGGGUGUGACCCGGUAAUAGUUCCUCGAUAAUUUUAUUUGGUUUCUUUCAUUUUUCAACACUUCUGUGUUGCUUCUCAUGAGAAAGCACACAGCAACUCUUGAAACAUUGCAUACAGAAAGUUUAUGAUGCAUAAGGCCAAUUAAAACAACGGAAAAAGGUAUUGACUUGUAUUUGAGGGUAGAAGGAAACAAUAGGAAGAGGCUAUGGUUGUUCCAUCCAACCAACUGAACUUGCUUCUAGUCCAUGCUUCCAUGUAAAUCUUCACGGUUAUUGAUAUAUUGAACACAACCUGGACAACGAUGAUGAAGGACGAAUCAUGAAUGGUUGAAUCCUAUUGAAGAGAAGGUAUGGGAAAAGUGCAAAAGAAAAUGAAAGCCACCACAGGAAAUCCAGGAGAAAUGGCAGGAACGUUCUCCAUGCCAUGACCCUGAUCCUUACAGAAGAGUGCAUUUUCACCCAUUGUUGAAAUUUCCCCCAUGUAAUUGGUCCACUGAGUACCCCACUAUUACCAGUUCCAUUUUAUCUGGAUUUAGGGUUUCUUCCCAUGCUGACAACCAAUAUAUACUGCCUUAUACUGGAUCAGAACAUUGUCAAUUUAGUUCAGUGCUAUCUGUCCACAGCAACUCCGCACACAUCUUUGGCUGUGGGCUUUCCCAACUUUUCUGCUGGGGAUGAUUUGAAUAUGGGCUGAAACUGAGACCUUUGGAGAAGUAUAGAGAGAGCCAGUGGGGUGGAGUGGUUAGAGUAUUGGACUAUGAUAUGGCCAAUCAGGGUUCAAAUCCCCUCUCAGGCAUGAGGCUCACAAGAUGACCUUGGGCCCAUUACUGCUUCUUAGCCUAACCUACUUCAGGGGGUUAUCGUGGGGAUUAAAUGGGGGGGGGGAACCAUGUACACCUUUUGGAGUGCCUUGGAGAAAAGGUGGAUAAAAAUGCAAUAAAUCAAUAAAAUUAUAUACUUUCUACAGGGAUAUGGAGACUUCGUCCAACUUUGCAUUAGUAUACCAUCCUCUAAAUACUUACUGCAGAGAUAGCUCUGUUCAGGAUUUUUCUUCCUUGAUUUCAAGGACGUUUCAAAUGUAUUAAUGGCUUGAUAUUGCUAACUGGUGAAAAAUCUCACCCAGCAAUAAUGUGCGUCAGCAGUUUUCGAAGCACAGAUGGCCAUUUAUGUAACUCUGUUUGCAGUUGUGGCUGUGUUCCACGGCAACAGGGAAAUGGAAUACAUCUGCACGCUACGAAGAAAAUAGAUGUACACGAACUGGAUGCUUAAAUGAUGGUGAAGCAGGAUUGUGAUCAGCCAUGAACUCUAUGAACAGGAAGACUGGCCUGGCCUCAGCCAUGAGCUGAAAAAAGGAGAGGUCCAAUUAUGACCCACAUGGCUUCAUUGAAUGGAAGUUUGUUUGUGUAUAACCUUCCUUCCUCAAGAGUUUCCUCUGAGAGGAAAUGGCGUCACUAUGGGGGUCAAUUGUUGUACAUUCCUCUCUGAAAAUAAAAUGCCACCCACAAAUGCAGCUUAAUUGAAAGCGAGCAAAGGGAACUCAGGUUGCCAAGAGCCCCGUGCUUAAAUGAGGGGUCUCCUUCAUGGGGAGGCAUCAAAGGUCAGGGGCAGAGCAUGCACUUUGCUCUAGAAGGUUCCAGCUGCGAUCCCUAAUGUCUCCAUUUGAAAGCAGCAGCCAAGAGAUGGGGAUUCCCUCUCCCUGAGACCCUGGAGUGCUGCUGCCAGAGAAGACAGUACUGGGCUGGGAUCUGCUCUUGGACCGCUGGCUGCCAUUUCUUUCACCUCCAAAAUGGGCAAAUCUGUACAUUUUGGUUUCUCUCAAUUUCUCAUUAUUCCAGUCUUAACUUUAGUCCUCCAUAUAUGCUUGUGAUUUAUUUGUUUCUUGGUGUGUGUUUUUAAAAGUCCUCAUGAAAAUUCAUCCAGAUUUUAGUGUGAAUUUCUCAUAGUGUACAUAUUUUGUUAUGCCGCAUCAGACCCAUUUAUGCAAAACCAUUUCCCUGAAUGUAAUGCAUUUUUUGGACGCAUGACUUGGCCAGAGAACAGCAUCACAACAUUAAGAAAAGAGCACAUUUUGAAGGAUUGCUGUGUUUCUUCUGCUCAAUUAUUGUUUAGAAAAGGGUGGAUUUUGUAGGUUUGCUUUUCGAUGCAAACUGAACCAAAUCCUUGCCCAAAGGACCCAGCCACAGUCAACCAGAUUGGGGGUAAGGUGGGUGACAACAGUAUAGCCACUAUGGCUGUGUACCAGCUCCAGCCAAAUCCCAAACCGAACUGGGCCAAUUUGAGUAAACCUGGGAUUUAGUCAUAGUAGGUUGAGGCAGCCUUGGGCCGGACUGGGUCAACCCAGAGUGAACUGGGACUGCCCAAAGUGGGAGAGGGCGGUCUGGGGACAAGGAGAAGGUGCAUCUUCUCCAACAUUCUCCUGCUUGGCUGCAUGUUUAAUCAAACACUGUUCAAGGCCCCAAAGUUGGUUUGGACUGCAUAUCCAAGUCAUUCAUGAAUCGUCCUUGGUUAAAAAAGGGUUAUCCCAAUUGUGUAUAUAUGUACAGUCCUGGUAGUCAUCAUGCUUUUGGUGUGGCCACCAUGUUUCCUCCCAAAAUCGCCCAGAAUGACACAAAUCUGGGUCAUUUGUAGGAGGAGAGAAAUGAUAGCUUGUCCACAGGCAAAGGCAACACCUUUUGUUAUUGUUUUUUGUGGCUUAUAUACCUCAGUCAAAGUUAUGAAUCUUUGAGGUGCGAAAAGACUCUCUGUUGAGUUUGCUUGACUUGGCUGCUACCCCUCUGGAAAGAAUCGGUAGUUUGCCGUCAAACAAUUCAAAAACCUCUCCCAUGUCAUAUUUGAUUGCACUUGACAGUUGGCAUAAAGUAUUUCUCUAAAAACCUUACAGCACUUGGUAUCUUUGCAGUUUCAAUUAGAAUUUGCGAGUUAACAUUAUAUGGGAAUUCUUAUCUGACGCUUGCCAAAAAUAAAUUUAAUUUAAAAAAUAAAACACUUAAGAAAUGUCAACAGGUCUCAAGUGUCCAAACUCGGAAUUAAGCAUUGCAUAUUCAAAAUGUGAAUUCAGAAAUGGAAGGACAAAAUUAGGAGACUUUCAGGAUAAUUGGUUUCAGCUCUAGACCUGUCCCUACCAUGUUGCCCGCAGAACUAUGAGUUUGUGGAUUAUUAUCUUGCUGAGCUAAGCAUUAAAGACUGGGCAGCCUGCUGCAUGAGUUUUCUUUCUCCAAUAUUUCCCACUGUGAUUAGUCAGUUCAGCAUUUCUUUUGGCUAGGAAAUGAGUGCAGCAUUUUCCUUUUGUUAUCUGCCGUGUGUGUGUGUGUGUGUGUGUGUGUAAAAGACAGAGAAGGGGAGAAGGAGAAAAUGGUUCUUUAAGGGGAAAAUUUCCACCUCUCGUUUUCUUGCUAUGUACCCGGGUCAUUAGGCAAACUGCACCACAUCUGAAAGAACACCGCUUUUAAGCCCGGAAUUCCCACUAUCAGAAUCGUUCCUCUGUGUUAAGCAACAAAAGCCAUGGCAUUGUCUCAGUGUUAAGCGGGUGUUAAAAUGUGCAUAUCUUACUGGGCUCAUUGUAUAGGAGGUCCCAUUCAGGGCAGGCCAUUUCUGAUCCACUGGCUGCUGUGAGCUCUCGCGUCUAAGACACACACAGUCGCCUCUGAUCAUAUUAGCUACAGUUGUCCUCGAUUAAUUUGCUUUGUGAAAGAGCAACCACCAAAGGACCAUCUGACUACAAAAUUUAAAAGAGCCACCUUUGAGUUAUCAGGGUUUUAAUAUGAAUUCAAUGGAACAUUAUCUUCCACCCACCCACCCACUUGCAAGAUAGCUGGGAAUGAAAAAUAAAAGAUAUAUAAUACAGGAGUCCCCCCACUUAUGCAGGGGUUAUGUUCUGGGCCCCCACGAGCAUAAGUGAAAUUGUGUAAAGCUGGGAGCACCCUCUAAACACCCUUUAAAGGCCCUCCCUGCCACUCCCUCAUCAAUCCAUACCAAAAAUACUGUAUCCAAAAAUAUCCACAACCAGAUUGAAGCUCUGGGGUCAGCUGAAGGCUGUGCGGGAAAGCGGUUCUUGCUGCACUACCCCGUGUGUCAGCUGUAAGGCAGGGAGGCUGAGCAGCGUAAACAAAGCUCCACUGUGCCUCUGGUCUCUUUGGAGCAUCCUCUACCCUCACUGAUGUCCUUUUUGGGCUCUGGGGAGGGUCUGCCCUCCUCCACUUCCCUCUUCCAUUGAACUUCCAUCUCCAGGGCCUUCCCCUGUGAUGUCACCUAUUGGCUCCACCUGUGACAUCACCAGGGGCCUCCUCUAGGUCUCAGGUUUGGGCCUUGAAACCUCAGCGUCUUGGAUGUUUCUGACCUGGCAAACCUAAUCCAUUGAGUGGGCAGCUUGCAACUCUCCAUGCACAAAAAGAAGAUCCACAUAGGAGGAUGUUGAGCCCUUUACCCCAACGUCACCUUUCCUUGCAGGCUCUCAGUUUGGCACACAUUGUGCCAGCUGCACUAAAACGCAGCUAUCUAUUAUGCAAAGCAAAUAGCUGCACAGCGGGUGGGGACGUGGAUUUUACAGCGUUUUACCUCUUUGUGGUCCUGUUCCAGAUUGCUUGCUCAAACCUUGCAUACUGAUUUCCCACAGGCAUCUGAUCGGCAACUGUGAGAACAGGAUGCUGGACUAGAUGGGCCAUUGGCCUGACCCAGCAGGCACUCCACCCCUCUCAUAAAAUAUCAAAAGCAUAAAACCGGUAUAUAUCAAAUAUCUCAAUUGCUUUUCAAAUUCAUGAUCGUCAUUUCCUUAUCCAACAUGAAUUUUUAAGCUUAGUGAUGUGGGCUACAACUUACAACCACAGUUACCACUGAAAUUCUUGGCCUGAAAGAUCAUGCCUGCAGUUGUGCUUGGUGACUGGAACGGAAGCUUCCAGAUCCAUUUUAAAAUAUGUUAGGCCUGGUCUAUGGCACCAGCCAAAAAAGUUUUCCCCUCUCCCUCUAGGCCUGUCUACACUGGAUCAUUGAGCAGCACAGGGUCACUGAGCAGCUCAGAUGAGGUAAAUUUGGCUUCUUCUAUCAACCUCCCUGCCCCACAAAAGCAGUUCCUCAUCAUCAAGAUAAUAGCUCUUCCUGCCUGUCAUGAUUGAGAUCCAGAAAGUCUGCCUCUUACGCUCAUCUUUUAAUGUGGGUUGUUCCCCAUGAGCCCUGAGCCAAUCCGUCUCUAUUUCAGCAAAAUCAACCCGCUACUCUUCCACAUGACUUCAUAGUUUUUAUAACAUUUUUAAUAUGGGGGGUUACGCUUGCCAGCGAUGUGCCAAAUUUGGGUGGAAAUGAGAUGGAUCUUGAUUUGGGCAGCUCUAUUUUGACAGGUAGAGAUCAAGGAUUUUCGCUGCUAUAAUAACCAAUCAUCCCUUUCAUUUUUCUUCUGGUUUUCCUUUCCUGACAUCUGAGAUCCGCAACUGACUUCAGCGUAAUCUUACUCCUCACUUUCAGCUGAGCAAUUUUAGAGAGAAGUGCUGUAAGUCUCACAGAUUUACUCAAAUCUACUUGCGUUCCCAAGCCAGGAGGCCUGUGGUAAAAAUCUCUCACUGAAGAUGGUACUGGUUUGAAAUCUGCAACUUUAGGGUUGAAAGCUGGCCCGGGGGUCCGAUUUGGUGUCUCCAUUCUCCAAACCACAGAGACCUGCCCUACACCUGAUAUCAUAUAGGGGGUAAAGAUGUGGCUGCUCACAAAGCCCAUUCCUCCAGAAAGCACGACUGAAACACACACACACACACAAACACACACUGUCCAUCAUCUGAUGUGCAAGGGGUUCAAUCCUGCUUGGUCACUAUCUUCCCCAGUGCUGACCACUCACCUGCCACUCCCCCCUGCUGUGCCAGAAAGGUCAUGCUGAGUCUCUCCAGAGCCCCACACCUAACAAUGGCUCCCUCAUACAAUGCCUAUGUUCCCAGUCUUUCCAGACUGAGUGAAGGAUUGUGGGUGUGGUGGCUGUUCUUCCUACUAUUAAACUUCAAGCAGCCUUUGUCGACAAAGUGGCAGCAGUGAAGGCACUCUUGGAGGCUACCUCUCCCAGGAUUCCUUGCAAUGUGAGUGACCAGUCACCACUGGAGAGCCUUGUGGCAAUGCUACUGCCUGCUCUGCUACAGUGACAAAGUGGCGGUGGCACUCCUAGUCCUAAAUGACAUGUGGUUGGUGGACAGGUGGGCCAGGGGGAGGGUGUGCCAAUCCAAGUCUCACUGUGGCUAAUGGGUGGGCUGUCCCUGACUCCCCCCCACAUUUCUUCAUCCUCCAACCAGGCAAGCAAGAAGCAUUUGCAGAGUGCAAGGACCACAUUCCAACCAGCCCUUGAGGAAAGGGUGGAGCUGUCAUGGAAUUCUACUCAAUAUUGAUCCAGAGUAGAUUCCAAUGUAUAGUUAACAGAGUAAAAACUUAAACAUGUUGCAGGAUUCCCCCAAAAUAGACCAGAGGCAAUUAAUAUUUUAUCCAGCAGAGCUUUACUGCUACUGAAGGCAAAUGAGCAUAAUUUUCACAAAUCCAAUACAUUCAGGAUUUGCACUGUCCAUAAGAAAUCCAGUUGCAGCAGACUUAACUUAAACUUACAAUAACUUAUAAUAAGUCUAAACCCCCAACCAGAUGGGCAGGGUAUAAAUUUAUUAUUAUUAUUAUUAUUAUUAUUAUUAUUAUUAUUAUUAUUACAACACUAUAUACAGAACACCACACCAGAAGGACAGAAGACAGAAAGAAACUGAAACUCAGGCUCCUUCUGGCCAUACUAUUAUAGUCAGCAUGAACUUGACAGAAAGAGAUAACAGAACUAGUUUAAGCCAGCCGUACUCAGCUUCUCUGAAGGAAUAACCCAAACAUCGUGAACAUUCUGCUUGUUUCUUUCACGCAGAGAAGCUUCCAGAACCCUCUUGAAUUAAUUAGAAUAGGAAAGAUCUCUACAUAUCAGAUCAAUACCUUCUGUACUAAGAAAUGCAAACUGACAGGACCAGGGCUGGUGAGGGGUGUGGCCUGGAGCGAGGGGGUGUGGCUUAGGGAGAAACCUCCAGAGUGGACAGUGAGAUCUGGAGGACUGCAUUUGGCCUCCUUGCCUGAGGUGCCCCACCUGUACCUCAGGACAUGUCCACAAAUUAUCCAUUUUUAAGACAUUGUUGACUAGUGUCCCCAGUAGAAGAAUGUUUCUAUAAACAAGGGAAGGGAAAGCUGGAAUUCCUGUGUCAGCAUUUGAGAGCCAGAGUGGUACAGUGGUUAGAGUGUUGGACUAAGACCUGGGAGACCAGGGUUUAAAUCCGCUCUCAGCCACAAAGCUCAUUGGGUGAUCUUGAGCCAGUCUUUGCCUUUUAGUCUAAUACAUCAUCCAUGUAUGGCUCCUUGGCAGAAAGGCGGGACAAAUCAAACAAACAAAUAAAAUAAUAGAAGAGCAAAGUCUUUUACAGUGGUAAAGUGGUAAAGUACGGUGGUACCUCGGGUUACAGACACUUCAGGAUACAGACGCUUCAGGAUACAGACGCUUCAGGUUACAGACUCCACUAACCCAGAAAUAGUACCUCAGGUUAAGAACUUUGCUUCAGGAUGAGAACAGAAAUCGUGCUCCGGCGGCGCGGCGGCAGCAGGAGGCCUCAUUAGCUAAAGUGGUACCUCAGGUUAAGAACAGUUUCAGGUUAAGAACAGACCUCCGGAACGAAUUAAGUUCUUAACCCAAGGUCCCACUGUACUGUGAUCCUGUGAGCUUCGACUCACAUGUGGGCUGUUGAAAUUAUAAUGGUCGGUGACAGAAAAAUGUUUUCCACCUUUGGUCCUUUCUCUCCCUCCCUCCCAUCAUAUAAGAAGAUACUUGGAUUGCUCUCUCUCUCUCUCUCUCUCUCUCUGUGUGUGUGUGUGUAUGUGUGUGUUGUGUGUGAAGCAGAAUUUUCUGCUCCACUCGGAAGAGGAAACCUUCCAGGAAGAAAAGCAACAACAACAACAACAACCCCACUUGCUCCUUAGCAAAUGGUAGAAUUGAAGGAGAGAAGGUGGUAGGAAGCAUAAUGGGCUGUGGCGCUUCUUAAAUCGCAAAGCGUCAUGAGAAGAAAGGGCUGGGUGGGAGAGGGUUGCUAUAGUGAGCGCAACCAGAGGGCCUUAAUGUGUGUGCUCACUGAAAGACUGGCUGUUCCAGCUCAGUGAAGCAAGAUGGACCCAUGCAGCUCUCUGGGAACGGCUCACAGAAACGCCGGCCUCCAGUAGCGAAGCAGAAGUCUGAGGCUGUGCUGUUGUGAGGGAUGGGUGGAUCGGCCCGUUUUGGCUCCUCUCCGUUUCUCGUUUCCCCAGUUUUCGUUCUGUACUUCACAACAGUUUGCAAAUAUGUACACAUCUUUUAAUAUGUGAUUUUGCCUACUAUACUUUCACAAACCACAGAGGAUAAGGCUACUAGCCGUGACUGCUCUGCUCUGCCGCCAUAGUUGGAGGCAGUAAUGCUUUUAAAUACCAAUUGUUGUAAAUCUCAGGAGGGGAGGGUGUGUUUGUGCUCUGGUCCUGGUUGGCAACUGUGAGAGCAGGAUGCUGCACUCAAUGGACUAUUGGCCUGAUCCAGUAGGCUCUUAUGGCUUUUACGCAAUUAAGUUUGAGUCAGAAUAGACCUAUUAAAAUUAAUGGACUGAAGUUAGCCAUGGCUAUUAAUUUAAAUGGGUCUACUCUGAGUAGGACCAGCAUUGAGUUGAACCCCAAUUCUCUCUAAUAUAAUGCAUCAUGUAUGCUAUUUUUUCCAAAUAUAUGCAUUUUAAUGCACAUUCCCCCCCCAAAUUUUUAAUCAUUUUAUAACACAAAUGAACAACACAAACAUGAAAACAGACAAUACAAACAGAUUCUUGUCUUAUCCUUAUUUUUUCUAAACAUUGUUAGGUGGGCUUCCCCAAGUCCCCCUUAUCUGAUUUUCAUUUUACCUCCUCUUUAGCAGUUUACAUAUAUCAUAAUUUCUAAGCAUUUUUUAAAUCAUAGUUACUUUAACCAUAAGAAUCUUCACAUUUUAUCACUUGCGAAUAAUACUAUUUUAAAAUACACUCUCUUCUACUUCUAACCCUACAGCCUAAAUCCACUUCCAAAGCUAUUCUAAGAUUUAAAUAUUAACAUAUUUUUUCAAAUAUUCCUUAAACUUCUUCCAAUCUUCUUCCACCAUCUCUUCUUUCUGGUCUCGGAGUCACCCAGUCAGUUCGGCAAGUUCCAUAUAGUCCAUCAUUUUUAACGCACAUUUUAACCGAGAAUAUGCAUUUUUGUGUGCGGCAAUUGGCUGGAGAACUGCGCUGCAAAUUUCGGAGGUGUGCAAAUUUCAAAGUACGGAUGUGUUUCAGUUCACAAAUUGAUUCAGAAAUUGAUUGCAUAAGUUUGCCUUUAAGUGCAGAAUGGGCCAUGUUUCUUGCCCCAACCCUAGUUAUUCUUCAUGUACCCACUCCAACCCGCCCACCCCGAUUAAACUGAACAAUCUUUCAUGGUACAGAAGACAUUACAGUCAUACAAAUGAGGUUUAAAUAAAACUGGAGAGAAAGAUUUCAGGGUAUCCAUUUCAAUUUCUACCUUCUUUCUGGCAGAUGACCUGACUCUGAAAUCAGAAGUGAAGCUGGACCGCUGAAAAGGAGAUGGAUAUUCCCCCUCUUGAGAAGCUUGGCCUGGGGAAGGGAGGAGGGAGGAAAACGUGGAUCAAUAUGCUACCAGUCCCUGAAUCAAAAGUGCAUCUGCUGAUUUGUCAAAGCAACCUGACACAAAACCGCACCGAACUGCAGAGCUGGGAGAGAAAAGCCUGAUGAAAAAUUCUGUCCCUCAUAGUGCCACCAAACAUUUACGCCGCCCUUCUUCACCAUGUCUUUUGAUGGUUAAGGUAUUUUUUUGUGGGACCUGCCUCUUCUGUAUUGUUCUGGGCUGCUUUUCUUCGCAAUUGUUUGACUUGUUUUCCUAACUGUAUGAACUCCUCAUGCACUCUUAACUUAUAUACCUGUGGACAGCUGGACAAUGAAAGUGGAUUCUGUGAGAGCUUAUGGUGGCAAAGGGACUCAAGCCACAUCCACCCCAUGCAUUUAAACACUAUGUAGCUAAAUCCAAGUAGCCUAUAGUCUAGAAGAUUGUAUUAGAAAGGUCCUGUUCUCUUCCGGCAUUGAUGAAUUGCUUUGCCAAAACCUAGGCCAGCGAGGGAGGAAGAGUAUUCCCCCCCAUGCAACCUUCCUUCACUGCCUUUCCUUCUAAAGAGUGGGUGGCAUGCAACUCAGUUUUACUCAAAGUAGUCCUAUCAAAAAUAAUGGGUCUGACGUAGGGCUGGAUCCAACUAAGUUGUUGCCCAAGCUGAACAAAAUCUGCUUGUACAAUGGAACUCCCCCCCCCUGUGCUCCUCCUAUAUCUGCCCCGGAGGGUUGGGGGAACCACUGGAAUAGGUUUGGGGGGCACAUGGGGGUGGGGAGAAUAGGGGGAGAAGUUCUGUUGUGCGAAAGGACCUUAUUUUGCUCAACACACCCCGCUUAACAUGAUGCUGAAUUCCACCCUCGGUCAUGUUCAUUUUAAUCGGUUUACUCUUGAGUAAAACUUGGUUGACAACCAUCCAGAGAUUUCCAAUAGCCCACUGGGAAGGAGAUGGAGAGAGAUGGUUGCUUACGGAAAAGCCAAAUGGAAACCUCCAGUGGCUUGGCUUGGGACUUCCACUUCUCAUAUAGAACGAGCUUUGAUUUUGAAGUUGAAGGAGAGGUUCAAUUUCACACACCAGGCACUGCAUUAAAAAAAGAGAGUAAAGACCCUGCUAAUAUGUUUUUCUCAUUCUGGUUCUGUAGGCUAAUUCCCUUCUUUAACUUAUCCCAAGAGAGCCCCGUGAAACAGUGCAGGAUCUGCAAAUGGCCAAAAGGCUUUUUAUACAAGCUUUUCUUUUCCCUCUGAAGUUGGGAUAACUUCCUUUUUUUGCUAUUGUUAAAUGAUAAUGAGCAAUAAAAGGGGUCCCCCCCACCUCCCCCAACAGACAGGCCCCAAGGCUGCGGCACAUUACAUGCGCAUUUUUAUUGGCCUGACGCUGCUAAAUGGAGUCAUUCUUCCAAUGUAAACUGAAGUCUGCUGCCUUUGAUGUAGGCAAUGGCAUAUCUCCCUCAGAUGUUUAGACUUGGAUUAGAGCUGCAUACAAUAUUCAGGAAUGAGUUCUGGCAAAGCAGACAGGACGGCAUAUUAGGGAUCUGAUGAAAGGUUCCAUCUGAUCAUUGCAUCACCCGCAGAGCCUGCGAGUAAUAUCCUCGACAGACGCCAGUAUUCUUCACUGGAAAUGCCUGCACCACAUACCUUCUGUAUUGGGAUUAGAAAGGCAUUACGCGCCUUUCAUGGGAGGCAAUGAAAACCUGGUUCCAUGGACACGAUCCAGGCCAAGUUCCCAAUGUUUAAAUCCCAUUGAUUGCAAUGUGAGAGACUUCGAAGGUUUGCUUUGCUUUCAGCCUGUAACUCAACAGAACUUGUAAAUGCUUGAUUUUGGCUGAAUCAUAUUCAUUCCAUUUCCUAUGUCUGCAUGAAGAUCUUACCUCAGACAAUUCCUGCUCAAGUGGUAAAUUAAGGCUACAGUUCUAUUCACAGUUAAAGGUAAAGGUAAAGGGACUUCUGACCAUUAGGUCCAGUUGUGGCCAACUCUGGGGUUGUGGCGCUCAUCUCGCUUUAUUGGCCGAGGGAGCCAGCGUUUGUCUGCAGACUGUUUUUCCGGGUCAUGUGGCCAGCAUGACUAAGCCGCUUCUGGUGAACCAGGGCAGCACAUGGAAACGCCGUUUACCUUCCCGCCGGAGCAGUACCUAUUUAUCUACUUGCACUUUGAUGUGCUUUCGAACUGCUAGGUUGGCAGGAGCAGGGACCGAGCAACGGGAGCUCACCCGGUUGCAGGGAUUCGGACUGCCGUCCGUCCGAUCGGCAAGUCCUAGGCUCUGUGGUUUAACCCACAGUGCCACCUGCGUCCCUUACUAUUCACAGUUACUGGGGAGUAAAUCCAGUCAAACUCAAUGAGACCUAAGUUUCAGUCAGCAAACACUGGUAAGCAUCCUUACACAUACUUCAUUCUUUCGCCACACCCUAUUCCAAGAGCAGCAGAGGCUACAACCUCAGGAAGUUGAACCCAGAUGCUAUGACCCACUUUGGUGUUGGUGGGGAUGUCAUCUAGUGUCUGAAAAGGCAUGCCUUAUUCACAGUGCUUUUUUUCUGGGGAGACGCAGGGG